rnacentral:lncRNA from 1 species
GGACACAAUUUACUGUCCCUGGAAAGAAAGAUACACUAUAUGAAGCUGACACAUUUCUAGAUGGACCUUCAUCAUUGUACCAGAGCACAACAAAUUGGGCAGUAAGCAGCACCGGUUCCUUCAUUGAUGAUGACCGCCCUAAGGACACCUUUAUAUGGCGUAAUGAAACUACACUCUCUAUGGCCAAUCCUCUACUGUACAUGAACGCACGCCUUUCUCCCAUCUCUCUAACUUAUUUUGGGUUUUGUCUGGGAAAUGGAGACUACACUGUAAAGCUCCAUUUUGCAGAGAUAAUGUUUAGAAAUGGCAAAACAUAUAAAAGCUUGGGAAGGCGCAUAUUCAAUAUUUACAUUCAGGUAAGUAUCGCAUCCACUUCCAUGUAUACCAGUGAAUUAUUCUAAUUUUCAGCUAGCAUUGUUUAUAUUUUGGUCGAUUUGAAUGUUAACUUUCACAUUUAUGUUCAUGAAAUGUUAAGCAACUAAAUUAGUAUAUAUACAUAAAUAUAUUGAAGGGAAUCCUAGUGAAGAAGGACUUCAAUAUCAUGGAUGAAGCUCGUGUGUUUGGUGAUGUAGUCAUAAUGAACUUUACUGCUCCUGUAACUAAUAUACAUUGGAGAUUCGUUUAUAUUGGGCCGGGAAAGGGACGACAGGCAUCCCUGUUAGAGGAGUCUAUGGUCCUCUUAUUUCAGCUAUUUCAGUAGACCCAAGUAAGUUUUCAAUGAUCUGACCUUUGUCUUAUUACUAUGCGUCGACCAUAUGCAUUGAUAUAUCUACUAAAUUAAGAGAUCCGACUUCAGCUCUGCAAGGUUCUUCAAUAUUUCCUUUCCCUUGUAUUUUCACAAAAAUGCUUCUGUGCUUUUCUCCUGUUUUACAUAGUUUGAGCCAAGACUUGAAAUACUCUUUUAAAUUUUCUUAUCACAUAAUAUGCUGAAUUUUCUAGGCGACGGUAUGUGCUUUUAAAUACAACAAAAUUCAACUUGAGGAUUGUUUGUUGAGGAAAAACUUAAGAGUACAGAAUUCUAACACAAGUGUUGGAGACACAAAACAAGUGAACAAAUUACUUGUAUUACACUCACAAAAUAUUGCAACACACAAACUCUCAAAGACACUCUUUAGAGGCAAUGACCUCACUCAUUUUCUAAAGACAAACUCUAGAUCACUCAUACUCCUCACAAGACUACUCUGACUUCUCACUCUCACUUGGUUGCCCGCUUCUUCUUGGUUGGUUGGUUUAUUUCACAACAUCACACACCUAUUUAUAGGCAUGUAUGCCGACUUCACUAGCACUUUCUAGUGCAUGUUCAUGCACACACUGCACCGACAUAUGACUUUUCAUAAUAGCCACAUAUUGUAUAAGCUGCUAGAACUUUCUAGCACAUGAUUAUAUACACACACCCACUGACUUAAUAGGAUAAUGCUAGAAUUAUCUAGCAUAUUGAUACGCCUGCAUGAUGCACCGUCUUUAGUGCUAGAAUUUUCUGGAUUUGUGUAGAAUGGGCUGGGGUUGGACUGUUUUAACAUUUUUAACUAUUUACAUGAAAAUAAUCCAGUUCACUUAAGGGAAACAUAUAAUAUUUACAACCAUCCGAAGAAAGUUUGUUCGAUGGAUUACUUCAUAUACUAUCUACUUAUUUAAGGAUGCCCCAAGGACCGGGUUCAAUCUUCUGUUUCUGUGUGCAUUAGAUAGCUGGUUGAAUAAUCCACUCUCAUAUCAAUUACAUUUACAUUUACUCUAAUUUAAGCUAUAUUCUUUCUUCCGACAGACUUUGAUCCCCCGCCAAAACCUGGUGGAAGUGGCGUGCCUACAGGUGGUGUGGUUGGAAUUGUGGUCGGAGGAGUCUUCAUUAUACUACUGAUAUUUGGUAUUCUUUGUAAGAGAGGUCUCCCAGGACAACAAAAGACAUUGGAGGAUGGUAAUAAUUUGCAGUUUAUUCUGUUAUACUGGUUUUUCUUUUUGUUUCUCCAUUACUUUUUCUUAUUGAACUUUUUUCGUAACUAAGAACAAUAUUUAUGCUAUUUUGCAUGGUUCUCAUGCAUAUUGACGUGCAUACACAAAGACAGUAAUUAUUUAGAUAUUGAGCUUUUUGGCCCUUUGAUGUUGCUAUAAUAUAUUUAUCGUCCAAACUCAUGAUGCGGAUUGCAGAGUGUCUGCCUAUAGAUCCAAUUACUAGUUAAAUUCUAGAAGCACAAAAUAUUAAGAACUAAGAAUACUAUCGUUCUGAAAGUUUUCUUCGACACAAUUUCUUAUGAGUUUUACUUGUGAUACAGAUUUGAAGGGUGUGGGCUUGCAAACCGGUAAAUUUACCUUAAAGCAACUCAAAGAUGCCACAAGCAACUUUAACAAAGCCAAUAAGAUUGGUGAAGGUGGUUUUGGUUCAGUUUAUAAGGUAUUCUUCGGAGCUGAUAUUUAUUUAUUUAUUACAUUUUUUUCUAAUUUGAUAUUGUCUGUUCAAAUGAAAGUUAAUUUGCUUUAUAUAGUGAGGCGAAUUUGACUAUCUUUCUCAAAUGCAGGGCGUUCUAGCAGAUAACACCGUAAUAGCUGUUAAGCAGCUUUCUUCCAAAUCAAAGCAAGGGAAUCGUGAAUUUGUUAAUGAGAUUGGCAUGAUUUCUGCUCUGCAACACCCUCAUCUUGUCAAGCUCCACGGAUGUUGUGUUGAAGGAAAUCAACUAUUGCUUGUCUAUGAGUACCUGGAAAAUAAUAGCGUCGCUCAUGCUUUGUUUAGUAAAUAUCAAUCUCGCUUGCCAAAAGUUCAUUUCAUUCAUACAAUGGGCAUAAAAGAUCUUAUGCACUAAAAAUGUCCUUUACAACUAACUUUGUUUAAUUUGGCAAAUUGAAGGGGCAAAAGAAAGUCAUUUGCAGUUGGAUUGGCCAACAAGGCACAAGAUUUGUAUUGGUACAGCAAGAGGUUUGGCUUAUCUUCAUGAAGAAUCAAGAUUGAAGGUCGUUCAUAGAGACAUCAAGGCUACUAAUGUUCUGCUUGAUAAAAAUCUUAAACCGAAAAUAUCUGACUUUGGAUUGGCCAAGCUUAAUGAAGAGGAUAAUACACACAUUAGCACCCGUAUUGCUGGAACUUAGUCAGUCCCUACACUUUUAUUUAUCUUCUUAUUCUCUUGUUUUGAUCUUCUUCAACCCUUAAAAAAGAAGAUAGAGCAACGGAAAGUCUCUAACUUACAUAAUUUCCAACCUAACCAAAUCCUUGUUCAAGAAAUUUCAAGGGCAGAUUUGUUCUUUCAAUAUAGUUGGGUUAAUGAUUUGAUUUCAUGAUAUUGCAGUGGAUACAUGGCGCCCGAAUAUGCAAUGCGGGGUUAUCUGACUGAUAAAGCAGAUGUCUAUAGUUUUGGUAUUCUUGUAUUGGAAAUUGUUAGCGGGAGAAACAACACAACUUACCGGAAAAAGGAAGAAAGCUUUUAUCUUCUUGAUUGGGUAGCAUGAAUCUACUACUUCCUAAUUUCACUUCAAAUUUUCUUAAUAUGCCUUAUACGUAUGAAAGUACAUUUGAAUCGAUGAAGUUUAAUCCAAAGACAGAAUUCAUAUUGCCUUUGAUGCUUCCAUUUUUUGUAGGCACGACUUCUAAAAGAUCAGGGGGAUUUGAUGGACCUAGUUGAUCCAAGGUUGGGAUCAGACUUUAAUAAAGAGGAGAUGAUUGUUGCAAUCAAUGUGGCUCUCCUUUGUUGCAAUGUUACUUCGACAGCUAGGCCUACCAUGUCUUCGGUUGUGAGCAUGCUUGAAGGAAAGGUUGUUGUUCAUGAGUUGGUCUCGGAUCCAAAUGCCAAGAGUAUUGAGAUUGAUGCAAUGAGGAAACAUUUUCAAUCUAGUUUUGGAAGGGGCACGGGAGAGAAACAUAUAGAAAUGGAGUCAACUGAAGGGCCAUGGACUGCUUCGUCUGCGUCUGCUCACGAUCUGUAUCCCGUCCAUCCUGAUUCAGAUUACUGGAAGAACAGAAGCGAUAUAACUUGAGCUGCACAGUUAUCAGUUUGACUCAACCUUGGCACACUCAAACACAUCAAAUAAUAAAUCAUUUGUAUUUCCUCUAUAACUAUUUGUUGACGUGAGUCAACCAUAUAGUUUAGGAAUGUGAUCAUGUGAUUGAUUCCUUGUAUAAUUCGGAUUCUUAUUUCCUAUUUUAUGGGACCUCUUGAACAACUAUUUAUUUACCUCCUAGAGAGAAGGAUACGUACAAUUACACCUUAACUUUUAUGUCGGUAUCAGAGGAUGCUUCGGCCCGUCUCUUUCCAAAAACCCUUAAAAACCCCCUCAAGGCAUGCAACUUGCAUCAAGAAUUAUUGCUGGUGUUUGUCACGAACCGAGAAAUCCAACGUCUGUGGCUUUGGAAUAAACAAAGCUACAAAGUCAAAAAAACAUAUCAAAAUAAACCUACAAAUCAGUCCCUGCAAUGACUGAAGACAGAAAAACAAAAACCGGUGAGAUAAUUCCCAUGCAAACUAUGUCUAUUCAAAGUGAGUCUACCAAAAUCAGCGGCCUUCCAUUCAGAUUUAGAUUGAGCGACUCGAAUUUCAAAGUUUAGUCGAAGAUGAUGGAGGUCCAUGCCUCUGGCCUUGGCAAACUGGGGUAUUUGACAGGAAAAACCCCUGUUGUUGCUGAAGACUCGCCUGGAUAUACAAAGUGGGUCAAUGAUCACUGCUAUAGUACGAGGAUGGUUGUUGAAAACCAUGAAGCCCCACCUAUCGAGUCUCUUUAUUGACUUGCCGACAGCCAAAGAUGUGUGGGAAAGUGUAACCCAGAUGUUUUACGACAAUUCAGACGAGUUCCAAUAUUGUGAACUCAGGUGUAGGGCUACGCGAACUAAACAAGACGGUCGUCCAGUAAAUUUGUACUUCACUGAACUCAAAGGAGUAUCGCAAGAUCUUGAUAAAAGGCGCCCUAUCAAGAUGAUAUGCAAAGCAGACCUGCAAAGCCGUAGGGAGGAGCUUUCAAAGGACAGGGUUUACGACUUUGUUGCGGGGUUAGAUCAUGGUUUUGAUCAAGUCAGGAGUGAAAUCCUAAGGAUGAAACCUAUCCCUGGGAUUGAAGAAUGUUUUUAUUUGGUUAGACGUGAAGGCCAGAGACAAACCCCUAUGCUUGAAACAAAAUCUAAAACCACAAGCUCUUCUAUGGUGAUGAUCACCAAGUCCCCAUCAUCAUCAUCCUUUCGUUUAACAUCCGCGGGAACAUCUAGCCCAAAUCGCACCCAAGAAGAUAUUUGACACGCCCCGAUCCCGAUAUUCCUCGAAUACCAAGAUAGGCACGUGCUGGCCGACACCCAAGGGUGACGAAAGCCAUUAAUUGAAUGCAAAUGCUGAGAAUAAGGAAUAGAUAAGGUUUAUAAAUAUAAAAGAAUAAAGAAUAUGCAUUUAAGGAACGUGUUCAGAGCACACAUCUAAUCGAGAAUAUUAGAAGAAUUAACAUAAACAAUUUGAAUGAACACAGAACGGGGUCCUACACCUAGAGGACUCGAAGAUACCGAUGCGGAAGUGUCUGGAUGCCGGGAUUGUACGCCUCGAUUCUAAGUCCUGAAGGGGGCGCAAAACAAACAUGAGUGGACCAAGUUGAUAUAUAUAUAAUAAAACAGUUAUCAACGUACUAACCCCCAGGUUUAUGAAAACAUAUAUAUAAUGAUAAACAUAGGUUUUCCGAAUUCUAGCAUGAUGUGCAGUAUCUCAAAUCAUAAUUCAUAUAUAAUAAUCACUAGUGAAUUGUCCGAUAACCCCCAGGCCCCAUGCCGGCUCCCCGUCUCUGAGCAGACAGUCAGAGGAAAAUACACUUCAGGCCCUAUGCCGGCUCCCCGUCCCUAUGCUAAAUAGCCAGAGGAAACACACUCCAAGCCCUAUGCCAACACCAAACCGUCGCCCGGGACGGACCGGAAUCUAUCCCUACGUCCCAUAGCAGAAAGGACCACUAGGUAAGUACAAAACCAUUGAACAUAUAUAUAUAUUAAAAAACAACUUCAUAGUAUAAAGUCAUCCAUCAUCUAUACUAUAAAGAGGUGUUCGAAACAUGUUCUACAUAUCAUAUCGUCAUCCAUCGGAUAUUCUAUAAGAACAUGGGUUAUAGGAAAAAUAGUAAUAAUUCAAACUAGCCUUAGUAAGCAUGUUAUCUCAAAACGUUUCAUAAAACGUAAUCAUUAAAUCAUGUCUUUCAUGUAUGCAUUUCUACUAUUAAAACAUGCUUUUGAAGGGGUCCACUCACAGUACUUAGCCGCCGAAGAGUCACGCAAACUAACGAACAAGAAAACGUCACCAAUAAUUGCCCCUAAGCACAUAAAGGGUCCAAUUAAUAAAACUCUAUUUUAACAAUUGAAUUGGGAAAACGGACUUCAAAAACGGGUCCAGGACGUCGAAAUUAGCCUAGGAGAGAUCCUGGACGAAAGCCAGAAUGGGCUUGGGGUUUGGGUUUUAAUUAAGCUAAAGGGACUUGGGAAAAGGGCUGAAAGCCCACUUUACAAUUGGCCCUAAGGCCUUACUUCCUAAAACAGAAAAUAAAUAAAAACCUUAAAAAGGUUUCUUGGGUUUGACUAAUGGGCUACGGGCCCUAAAUUCCUAAUGGCCCGAAGGCCUUUAAGGGUCCUAAAACAAUUACAAUUAAAUAAAAUAAUUAAAAGUAAAAUAGGCUAGGGUUUUGGGCUUGGCUCCCCAAACCACACGGGCCUAAGGCCCGCUUAGCAUGGAACCGGCCUGGGAGGCCUGUCUCGCCGGAGCACCACCACCGGAGCUUCACAGCUCCGGCCGACUUCCACACACAACCCUAGACUUCGAUCUAGGUACCAAAACGAAGAGCAAGACGAGGGGAGUAUUUCUAUACCUUCCUUUCGUCGUGGAAUGGACGGAGAUGGCCGGAAAAACCCCCGAGGUCGCCGGAGUUGGGUGUGCUUACACCCGGCUUCGAUUUCGUCCUAUAACCUCCAAAAAUCACGAAUUAACUCCAAUUAAACCUCAAUCUCGCAAGAAUCAAGGACGAAAAGAGAGAAUUAGGGGCUUACCUAACCGGAGAUUGAAAAAUCUCGCCGGAGCUCCUUUUCCGGUUCUCUGGGGUCGCGGGAACGAGAGGGAGAGAGAGAGAGAGCAGGACGCGGUGAUGAAGGGUGAUGGGCUUCCUCGCGCGGGGAGAUGGGUGCGUGCAUGUGUGCGCGGUGCAGAGAAGAGGGAGAGAAGUGAGAGAUGAGAGAGAGCCGAGAGGGAGAGACAGGAAGAAAGAAAAGAAAAACAGAAAAGAAGAAGGAGAAAUUGUUUGGGGUGCUGCCAAGUGGCAGAUUUAGAAAGAAAGGGAUCCAUUUUCAGAUUGGGUAGAUAAAAUGGGACAAAAUUGAUAUAAUUAAAAUGUUUUGGGGUAAUUACAUACAUAUAUUUUUAUAAUUAGAGGGCGGGUGUUACAAUAUUGACAAAGAUAAGCUUCACUGCAACCACUGCAAUGGAACAAGGCACACCGAAGAAACUUGUUUUGAAAUACACACAUACCCAGAAUGGUACUGGGAAAAAAUGAAGCAAUUGAAGGCCAAAAGGAGGAAGUCGGGCCAGGCUGAACUGGUCGAGAGACAGGACCUGGAUCCAACGGGAUUAAAGGCCGAAAUGAAGCAAUUAAUGAGCAAAUGAAUAUCUAAACUGGCCUUAACAAUUUUCAGCAAUAAAAAACAUGUCCCUUUAUCGAAGUUGCAUAAAUUACAGAACCUUGGGAUUAAGGAGGAAUAAAAAGCCCAAAUUCCAAUCAAGAAAAAAAAAAUUGUAUGUAAAUUUAAGCUUUACCUGUAGAUUGGCAGCAGCAAAAGCAUACUGGAUCCAACGGGAGCGAGAACUGGAUGCCCAGCCCUUGACACGUUAUCGAGUGAGUUUAGGGAUCUGGGUUUUGUGUUUGCCGUUGAAUUUUGGAAUGAUCUGGAGAAAUUUGGGUUUUAGGGUUCUAAGGAUUUGAGUGAACCGAAACUGAUUUGGAUGAGCAACUUUUGGUUUCGAUUCGCGGUGGAGCAAGGAUGAAGAGGUGGAGGAGGUAGGAACGAAAGGGUGAGAAAAUUUGGAUAGGCGGGAUUCGGUUUCGUUUCGAAUCAGGACAAGACCACCGAGAAACCUCAUUAGCACUCCACGUGUGCAAAAGGGUUUUUCGUCUUUUUACUGUACCAACUUGAAAUACACAAAGGCAAAUUGAAGAUGGGUAUUUUCGUCUUUACACCGUCGCUUAUGAACAAUGUUUUUUCCAUGGCGCUUUAGUAUAUAUAACUAGCAAAGAAUGUUCAAGAGCAAUGCUGCGGGAUUGAAAAUCAUACAAAAACUUUGUAUCUAGUACUAUUUAUAUACAAAGGAUAAUACUUUAUGUGUAUUACAUACUAUUUACAUACAAAAGAUUUGAUAGUCCUAUUAAAAAUCACACAAAAUCUACAAUCUGACUGAGUUACAUACUAUUUCCAUACAAAAUCUACAAUCUGAUUGAAAUACAUACACUUAAUAUGUGCGUACCCCUCUUGACCUUGAACUCCCCCUACAUAGUUUACAAAAUUUACAGAUUAAAUUAAAUAUAAAAUCCAACUUAUUAAUUAAUUAUCAAAAUCGGAAAAAAAAAAUUAAAAGGGUCAAAAGAGAGAAUAGGAGAGGAGUCAAAUACUAAAAAAUAAAAAGAAAAAAACGAAAAUAAAAUCAAUAAUAAGAUUACAUAAGCACAUUCAAUUUGAUGAUUUGGAAAUUAAAGCAAAGGCCUUUGACCUUCUACGUAGGCCUGGUGUAGACAUUGAAAUUUCGGUGGCAUAAAUGUUAGCCAUUGCAGUAAGAUUACAUUUGUAAACAUUGAAAUUUUGGUGAAAUAAAUGUUGACCAUUGUAUUAAAAUUACAACCUUCAUUCACUUCACCUACAUCAUACACUAAGUUCACCUACAACAUCCACCAAGUUUCACCUACAAACAUCCACCAAGUUUCACCUACAACAUCCACCAAAAUUCACCUACAACAUCCACCAAAACAAAUGGAUGGUGGUGAUUCGUUCCCAAAGCCUAUAAAUAGGCUCAUCCAUCAAAGAAUCAAUAAACCAAUUCACAAAUACAUUUCUCUACUCCCAAAAUGGAAGAGAAUACUCCCCACACAUCCAAAAUCCUUGAAGCUUUGAAACUCUAAAGCUUUCAAGCAUCCAACCUCCCAAAUUCAAGCAAAUCCCGAAGGAUCAAGAAAGCCCUCUUCGUUCUUCGUCAAAUCCUCCUUCAAGAUCAAGCCCUAACGGCCCUUGAAGAAAUUUCUCCUUCAAGAUCAAGCCCCAACGGCCCUUGAAGAACUUCCACCAAUUCAAGAUCAAGUCUCGACGGCCCUUGAAGAAAGUGUUCAACAAAUCCACACAACUGUUCAUCCUAAGAUCAAGCCCCGACGCCCCUUUUUGGAUCAACAACAUCACCAAAUCCACAUAAAAUGUUCAUCCUAAGAUCAAGCCCCAACGGCCAUUUGGAUCAACAACAUCAACAAAUCCACACAACUGUUCAUCCUAAGAUCAAGCCCCAACGGCCCUUUGGAUCAACAACAUCAAUAAAUCCACACAACUGUUCAUCCCAAGAUCAAGCCCCGACGGCCCUUGGAUCAACAAUCAUCCAUCUUCAAGAUCAAGCCCCGACGGCCCUUGGAUCAACCAUCCACCAAUUCAAAAUCAAGCCCCGACGGCCCUUGAAGAAAGCACCAUCGUUCAUCAUCCGUUCAUCCAAGAUCAAGCCCCGACGGCCCUUGGAUCAACAACAUCAACAAAUCCACACAUCCAACCGUUCUUCAAGAUCAAGCCCAAAAGCCCUUGAAGAUCCGUUCAUCACCGUUAUUCAAGAUCAAACCUUAACGGCCCUUGAAGAAACACUCAUCCUCAAGAUCAAGCCCCAAUGGCUCUUUGAAGAUCCGCUCAAAUCCACCUUCAAAGAUCAAGCCCACGGCCCCUUGAAGAAACUUCCAACAGUUCAUCCAAGAUCAAGCCUCGACGGCCCUUGGAUCAACGAAACAUCCAUAAAUCAACACCUUACGGAGAUCGAAUCAGAAGAUCAAAAUUGAGAGAGAUUGUAACCCAAAUCAAAAUCACAAAAUAUUAUUUUGUGCACGUUGUUCUUGUCUUUUUCGUUUCAGGAAUUUUCCGUGUUCACAAAUUGGCACGCCCGGUGGGAUAAUCUCUACCUCUCAUCUCUUUCUCCGUUCAAGGAAUCCAAAUCCACCUUCAAAGAUCAAGCCCACGGCCCCUUGAAGAAACUUCCAACAGUUCAUCCAAGAUCAAGCCUCGACGGCCCUUGGAUCAACGAAACAUCCAUAAAUCAACACCUUACGGAGAUCGAAUCAGAGGAUCAAAAUUGAGAGAGAUUGUAACCCAAAUCAAAAUCACAAAAUAUUAUUUUGUGCACGUUGUUCUUGUCUUUUUCGUUUCAGGAAUUUUCCGUGUUCACAAAUUGGCACGCCCGGUGGGAUAAUCUCUACCUCUCAUCUCUUUCUCCGUUCAAGGAAUCCAAACACACCUCAAAGUCAAUAGCAUCAAGCAAGGGACAAGCCGUUCUCGCAAUCACUGAGGGAAUGAUCCUAAGCACUUCUGCCGCAAAUGGACAAUCCAUUAGCGCCACAACCGCUCCUCAACAUGCCACUUCAAAGUUGGUGCCGCUAAAAGAGCAAAUGGAGCAUCAAAGGUGUGAGUCUGUCAUCAACCUGACCUCGCUGGGGGCACCGAAGCAUGCUGCUGAGGCACACAAGAUGACAUCCCAAAACAACCAACGACGUUCUUCGUCAGCAUCUUGGAUGUCUAAAGGAAAGUCACGUCUAGUGGUUGCACAAGUCAUGACCAUCAGCGUUACCUCCAUCGAAGAACAACUGGCUCAAAUGAAUGAAGCAAUCGCAAGGCUAACCCGAACUGUGGAAGAAACAGACUUGCAAAUCGCUGCACUCGUCAGUCGACUGGAGCCACAGGACGGCGAGAACCCUAACCCAGAAGAUGAGUCUACGGUAGAGAGAAUCGAUGUGAAGCUGGAGCCAGACCAAGAAGCGGCACUCAUGGGAUCUCUUUCUAUCCAGCAGUUGCAAGAGAUGAUUGCCAGCACCGUCAAGGCACAGUUCGAAGGGAGCUCAAAUACCUCUAGGUUGUACUAAAAGCCUUAUUCAAAGAAGAUUGAUGCCCUAAAGAUGCCGAGGGGAUAUCAACCACCAAAGUUCAUGCAGUUUGAUGGAAAAGGAAACCCAAAGCAGCACGUUGCACAUUUCGUCGAAACUUGCAACAAUGCGGGGACGGAGGGAGACUACCUUGCCAAGCAGUUUGUGCGCUCGCUAAAAUGAAAAGCCUUUGAAUGGUACACGGACCUAGAGCCUGAGUCCAUCAACAGCUGGGAACAGUUGGAAAGGGAAUUCCUCAACCGCUUCUACAGCACCCGCCGCACUGUGAGCAUGCUAGAGCUAACGAGCACAAAGCAGUGGAAGGACGAGCCAGUCUAUUUACUACUCCAGCAUAUCAUUCAUGGAAGAUAUGGCGGACACUCUUCAAGCCUUCCUGUUAUCCUCGUGUUAUAAAGAACAGUAGCUCAUCGGGUACAGCUACUUCAAUCGUGAGGCAUGAUGCAUCUCCAAGGUCAGAUUCUCAAUUAUUAAGUUGUUUAUAUUGAUAAUUGAUUUUUUGUGUAGCCGGUGGCCGAUAUUCGACUUUAAUUACAUAUCGAUUCAAUGGCAUUCAUAGAACCCGAUCUAAUAUGUGCGGACCGAAUACUUGCCUUACCCCGCCACAAAGCUGCCGCUCUAUUCCCGAACGAUUAUGGAAAGUUGUGUGAGCAUCGCCCAUAAUUGGGUAAGAAAAUGUACACCUGCAAGUCGCAACCGUGCAGAACGUACAUGAUACAGUACGAUUAUACGACAAAGAGAGUGCUUCGAGAACACAAAAGGUUGAGUGUGUGCGAAGGAAAGUGUCCUCCGUGGAUAUACCAUACUCUCAACGAUUUAUCAGAGACUACAUGACCAGUCAACACAUUUCUGUACCUCGUUCAAAUGAUGACAAGACUCUGCGUACUACUAGCAUCUGAACUAACUUGUUAUGUUAUUAUAUGAUUUGAAGUUUUCUUAGCCGUGUCUUAGGCAUGGAAAGAUCGCAUGUUCUUGGUUUCCUGCUCUCAAAUGCUGAGAUACUCAUGAGAAGCUUCCAUACUUUCUCAAGGUGUUUGUGAGAGAAGGUGUUGUUAUGCCGUGGACCUACUUAUUUACCUGGUACUCCAAAUUCAGUUUUCGCGCUACCAGAAUCUUCUGCUGAAAAGGAGUCGUGAUAUCCUGUUCUCUGAACAUAUCACGUUUUCCUAGAGCGUUAUGUGACGAAGCAAACGAGCAUACUUGCAAAUCCAAGAAUGGGGAAUUCCAUUUGGUUAUCAGAAACUAAGAUGUUCCGCCUUAUCAAUCAGACAGAAAGUAAUGGUUCAUCCUCCAAGCUUCAGUGGAGAUUCCCCCGCCCAUACUGUUAACUCUCAAGCCCUGCGACAAUGGACUGUCAGCGGCAUGUGCUUUAAGCCUUUUAAGACAAUACUUUCCCGUAUUCAGAAGUCCGGGCUGUUGAGUUGGGAGUUUACAGAUGAUCUAUUUACAUUUUGAAAGAGUCUAUUGCAUGAAUGCGAUAUUGCAGGUGUUGAGUGAGAGCCAAAAAACGAAGCAAAGCGGAAGGAUCGAAAGCUUUUGGGGAUCUCGCUUGAGUAUAAGACUAGUUCUUGCAAGUUAAGCCGAGAGAGUAUUCACUGAUUGGUGUCCGGUGUACGUGAGAUUGCUAGCCGAACUAACGCAAGGGUAUGGUGUAUCCACUUUGAGUUCAUUGGUAGAUAGGUGUGGUUUGUUUGCUGCAUUGCUUCAACUAUUUUUUUCUUAUGGGUACUUCUCCAAGGAGAGGAUUUCGUGAAGCCUAAUGCUUCUGCGCCAAGGCUUCAUGAGCAAGCCUGCGAAGAAGAUUUCAAAUCAUUUGUUGCUGUUCUUUUCCUUUCAUUAUUUAAUGAAGGAAUGUAGCAUCCAUAUGGGGGACUGUCCUACAGUAUCAGAAGCUGCCAAAUGCCUUGUCCUCCUCCUAGUAGGCCCGUUCCGGUUUGUAGCAUAGUCAUUCAAUCAGGUCAUCCACUGGUUGAGGGCACGCCUCUCACUCUGGACUUAGCUGAUUAUCCUCAGCCCUUUAACAAGUGUUGCAGUUCUUUGUCGAGCACGAAGCCGAGAAAAGAAUCCGAGACUAUUCUCGAACGUUUGUUUCUGAUCUUGAUCCAUUAGGCAAGUUUAGCUGCUGUAGAAGAGUUUCUUUGGGCUCUCGGGAUCACCAGCCGCGAGGGGAAUCUGGUUCAGAGCCUGCCUGCCCUCUGCUGGAAUAACUCGGGGAAUCUGGAACUCACACCGCACAGGUGCUCGUGCUUCAUCUCUGGUCUACUUCAAAUCUGCUUCACCACUCGUUCGCCAUUCAACCGAUCCAGAAACAUCUGUGAAUAUAGGAGAUACAGCUAGGAGGGAACCACACAAAGGAGUAGCAAGAGCACAAGACUCAUCAAAGGAAGGGUAAGCUGUUUGAAGCCUUCUCAGGAUGAAGCAAGAGGACCUCAAACAGAAAUGCAGCUACGUAGACGGGCACUCUUUUGAUAAAAGAUGUUCAAACUGAAGCCACAAAUGGGGACACUACUCUGAGGUUGUUACUGAUACCAAAGUGACAUGUAAUUAUUAUUAUUAUUAUUAAUUUGUGAAUAUGCGUGUUUGGGUUAUUUUGUUCAUGCUAACAAAGACACUUCUAGUAGUACUUUUUCACUAAGCAAUCUUCUUUCUUGCAUAUCUGUAUGGGUUUUGAUAUGGCAUUGGGGUUCCCGAUAGGAUUCAGUUUACAUUCCCCAAGCUUAUUGUGUUGAUUAUCAAUUAAAAGAUUAAUUCUAACGCGACAGAGAAUCAUGGUUCAUUGUUUCUGAUGGGCUACUUUAUCGACAAGGGUUUAUUGGGUAUUUGGUGAACCAAACCUUGCUAAGGGCAACUUUAAGCGAGAUGGGUAUGUGGGGUAAGCAAGUGGACAUUAACUUUGGUGUCCCUAUAAUGAGUUAGUCCUCCACGCGUUUGCGCUCUUACAGCACUUUAUCUUUUUAAAUUUCUUUAUAUUGGUAAAGUUGGUUGGCAAUUCACUUCUUAGAUAUCUCAUCUCGGUAUGAGGUUUGUUUAAUACCACUAACAACCUCCUCCUUCUAGUGAGACGUAUUUUCUUUUUUCGAAAUUUUUUUUGGUUGAGUAAUCGCUGCCAUAGUCAUCCAAUCUGCCUUUCCAAUACAAUUUCUGUUGAACAGUCAUUGAUGUUGUCUUCUGUAGGAUGAGGAAUCUGAUAAUAUCGCCUGUGAGAUGGGAUGAAUUGUUUAGAAGAUGAUGAAAUAUCUCAGAUGACGAAGAUGUGACCUAUUAUGUAUGUUAUUGGAGUCUUUAAUUUUUAUGUCCUGAACAGGAGUAUUGGAUACUUUGAGUUUUUAUUGUUGCUAUUAUUGGGUACUUUUGGCAGGUUCUAAGAGAUGAUCUCUGGUCCCGCUUUGCAUGCCGGGAUAAAGUUACAACCUGCAUGUCAUAAAUUGGGAGAACUCAACUAAUGAGGAUGCUACAUUCUAAGCUUUCCAGCCAGCAACGUGAACAAUCUACUAACCCCAGCUUGUCUUCAGUAGCCAUCAGUCACUCCGACAAAAGGCUUGUGCUGUGAAAAUCUCAUCAUAGAAGCGCUCAUAAAGCAAUCCAGACGCAUGCUACAGUCGUAAGAGGCUGCCAGAUCUGCUGAGCGAUAGGCUAAUAGUAUUCUGCUUAAUUAGGUUCAAUAUAGACUUGCAUGUGAAUUUUGCUCUUGCCCCAUGGCUGGGCUUGGAUCUGCAGCAGGGGCAUUAGGGGAGGCAGAGAUAGAUCAAGGACGUCCUAUUUUUGUCAUUCUAGUGAUCCUCCUAAGUUGAUUUUUACUUUCUGGAGGGGACAGCUUAAUAGGCUCUGACAUCAUAUCGGCUAUUCAGAGGACAGCUUGUGCAGAUAGGUAGAUGAUGAAAGUAUGCUGGAGUGAUUUUGUAUCAGUAAGGUUGCAGGCUAUGGAGUGAUAUUUACACUAUCACUACCAGGGCCAGAACAUUCCAAAACUGCAGGCAUUCGUUUGUUGAGAAGGGCAUAACCAAGUAUCCAUACCCCAACACCUGCAUCACAUGAUCUGGACAGCUCAAAUUUCUGCGACUUAACAAAUAUUUCUUGCACCUUCACACUUGCAUUCGCAGAUUCCAUUCGAAUUCAAUUGCAUCGAAUGUCACUUGUCUAUGCGCUCCGUAGUAUAUAUAGAAUGCCAGGAGUCGAGAAGGCUUUUUGACAGCUUGGUGAUGGACUCAAUGUCUUAAGCAUAAACACAUACAAUAAUAUGCUACCACAUAGGCAUCUUACGUUCUCCCCCACAUAAUAGAUGCAAUCGGACUGGAGGCGGCUGAGCGCCAUAAACCUGCGUAGGUCAUCUUAGAGGGCUUGGAACUUUAGCACUACCUUCCAAUCCUCGCCUGAAGCUCAGAAUGCAACAGUUUCCGACAUUUUUGCGGAGGUAAAGUUUUGGAAUUGAUGACUUGAGUACAACUUGGUGCUAGAGUUUUUCCUUGAGGAAUUUAUGUAACGAACGCUAAAUCUACGUCGCAAAAUUGAGAUGAUCGCCGGCCAAAAAUUCAUAGCGACACAAUGCCCUUGUCAGUAGUCGUCCAGCCAGUGGGCGCGCGAAGUCUUCACUUCUUGAUCUUUGUGGUUACCAUGUCUUUACACCAUCACAUGAGAUCCUUAUCUUUCAUAUGUUCACCCUUUUGAGACUCGGAACAACGUAUGUCUCAUGAGUUCUCCCAUGCGCAUAUUAAGAGUAUGUCCCUCAGCCGGAACCGUCCCUGUACCUCUCCCUAUAUAUAUUCCGAGCACCAGCAGUGCUGACUGGUCCAUGCACAUUAACAAAAUUUCACAAAUUCUCCUCCCCGCAAUGAACCAGAAUGAGUCUAAACUGGGUGAGCAUAGGCACAAGAAGAAGUCUCACCUUGGGGCUAGCAAAGUCGACGAGUCUAUUUUACACACGAAACCGGAUUUUGGAUUCUGCCUGCCCAAGACAGUUAACUGAGCCAGAGAUGAUUGCAUUCCCCAUCUCCAGAAAAUCUCUGUCGCUGAAGUAAGCAGAUGAAUCUCUUUAUGAACUGGCGUGGGCCACUGAGCCUGAUGGGUCCAACUGCUCUUUAGGCUUUCAGUCAAUCCAGAGCCUAAACAACCUAUAAUGAACCACAAGCUCACUGGUGCGCAGCCCUACCAAGAGUAAACUAGUUGGCAAUUGCGAUAAGAACUGUGCAUAAUUCUUCAAAUGUACGCACAAAAUCAAUCGAAGUGCAAAUGAGGAAUGUUACUGUUAAAACUCUCAUUCAAGAUGGCUCACUCAAAUAUGCAAAUUACGGUCGACAAUAUGCCCUCAAAUGCUGAUCCCUCUUGUGUGUUGUCCCUUCUCCUGGAAUCCGAAAGCCGUUAGUUCGUAGCUCCUGUUAAUUGCCAGUUUUUCCAUACAGAAACAUUCAAGAAGUUCGAAGGUUCAAAGUCAAUAUACACUAAAUUAAGAAUUAGAGAAAAAAUAUAAAGUUUUAUUAGAAUGGAAAGUGCAAUUUCUAGUGUACAAAAAUUAGUAAUAAAUAAUGCACGUGAAAUAGUCACUAUUCGUAAGUUUACAUAUAGAAAAACAGACUAAAUGAAGAACAACCCUACAAUAACCAACCAGAAUUUGUUUAAAGUUUUGCUGGUCAGGCCCAGAUAGAAUAAGUUAAGAGAGAAAUAUAAAGUAGACGCUUUCUUAUUUUAUUUUUUUCUCAUGAUAAUCAAUUUACACCUAAUAAAUUUUAUUAAUGAUAAGUAGAUAUCUUAUAAGAAUAUAAAAUAAAUUUUCAUAUAUCAAAUAUUAACAAUUUUGAGAGGGAUGCUUAAAAAAGAAUUAAACCCAAUUUUCCAUCUCCUGAUCUAUCUUCCCUCCUUCAGGAAUGCGCUUCGACUUAACCACUCAUAUCCCUUGGCUAUCCGUGUCUCUCACAAAUGCAUAGUUGAAGACUUGAGCAAGAGUGAACAUCGUUAUAUAUGAAGCAUACACACUAACUCAGACAGAACUUCCUUCAGUGCUAGACGUGAGAAAUGAAACCCUCAUAUAAUAGUUAGAAUCCAAAAUUAUUACAUUAGGAGCUUUUCAAUUGACGCAGUACGAGCCUAGACGAUGCGGCCAUAUUGGUGCUGAACAAACCUCUGAAAUCAAUGCCCUUGAUUUUGAAGCCCGAAGCUCAAAACUUGGCGGAGUAGCGCAUCAGAUUCCUGCAAUUUCUGAGUGUUAAUACCUCUCGCGUUCUGUCUAUGAGAUUUGUUUAUCCCAACUUAGAUCACCUUGGCGAGCUUUAAUCUGCAGACUAUUAUUGAGUCUUUCCUGCGUUCGACCUCCUCGAAACCUAACUCGCUGGUGUGAAAUACUGCAAUGAUAUUCUUCAAACUGCGAUGCAGCCGCUGAAAUUGAUUCAAAACUUUUGGUACUUAGUUCUUCGGUGCAUUAAUAAUUUGGCUGUAGGGCUUUCAUUAUUUUAGGACUUUCUAUUCCUGCAUCAACGUACUAUCUUGGAGCUCAAUGGGAUGAAUCUCUCGAUAAUAUGGUCGCCUAUCUCUAGAUCCGGACUAUUGGUGUAAAAUACUGAUUUAAUCUCGGGUAAUUUCUAUAGGUUAGUUAGACACAAAUGGUCAAUUACACGUUGGCCAGGACCACGCGCUAGUACAAGCAUACAUUUCAUAAAUUCUCUAAGCCAUGCGUCGAUAGAGUCACCCCAGCACAGUGCAAGUAUCUUAAGGAUAUGAAUACUAAGUAGGCAAUAUGAAAGUGUGAAGCAAUGUGUGGGCCCAUAUGGUUAAUCUGAGAAUAGACAGACUCACCUCAGGUUCACCGAGUUUUCUAAAUCAAAAAUCGGGGUCGGUCGGUAUGUUGUCUUCUAGUAUACUAUUUUCUAAAGCGUUUGUUGAAAUAAAGACACUGACCGGUGAUAUAGCAGGAGCAAUUCAAGAUCUAAUGAAGUGCAGGAAUGAAAUUUUUAACAGAGGCUGACAACUCAGAGAGUGUGAGUCUUUCUUGUAUACAACGAAUACUGAGCGAUUCGACCUUUCUAUAUAAAUGUAUCAAGCCAUUCACGACGGGUGACUCAAAAAGAUGUCGUAAGACCGUCUGGAGCUCCGAGAAUUCGGAUGAUGAGGACAUAUUUCAAAUAAUACUCAAGAGGGCUAAGUCAGGAGAACACUUGAAAAGAAAGUUAUUCUGCACUUUUCCAUGCUAUAUCUGUGCCAACUGCAAGUUUAAACAUUCCCGCUUACAAUACGCGCCCAAAUCAGCUCUGAUGGAAAAAGUUACUUUGCGGGGCACGAAUGUUUGUAAAGAGCUCGCAUGGAAAUUCGCGCAGUGAGUUUAUCGAAGAAGCGAGCGUGUACUUAUUCAUCGCUACGUUCAGCACCUGGUCCAUCUCUGGGCGAAAACUCAUCUUACGGGUAUUUAAUCGAAAGUGAGGCAAUUUAUCAGAGGCGUUUAUGAAGCCUGUCUGUCACAAGCCCAAGUAAGUAAAUCUCAAGAACACGCACCUGGUCGUGCUCAGUCUUUGCAGGUACUGGCGUUCGCUGAGACACACGUGUCCUAACUACACUUUGCUUCAGCUCUUUUAGAUUACAUAUUUGGAGCUAAAAUUGCGUACUUCACUACGGACAGAGAGUUUGUCGGAGGAUUUUUCUGGAUAUGUAAAUAUAAUGAAGUAUAUAUUGAGUCUAAGCUUCCUACGCUCAUCUAUUGGCUGUUUACCGACAAACCGCGUGUGAAAGUAGAUAUAGUUCAGGUUUACCCAAUACCUGAUGUAUUAAAGUAAUGUUUUAUCUCUUUCUCUGUGUUACGUAAGCCUGUUGUCCAACCUCUCUACCCCUCCGUCCAAUAUGCAAUGUCUGAACAUACUAUUACUGCUUAAUCUUCAUAUCUACUCGAGAAUGACGCGCUUUUCUCUCUCCCUCAAAGACGUAUAAAGAACCUUCGUCGGAGUGAUGAUCAGUUCAGUCUUUGAAUCUUUAGUUGUCACUUUGGGUGUCCUCUGCUGCAAAAUACUAUUAUCGACUCACUCUCCUAGCGCACGAGAGGUAUCAUCAGUUGAGAUCAACCAGAGUAUGGUUUAAAUUGCUCUUUCUGAAUCGAGCCAUAAUUCUUACAAUCAUGUCUUUACUCCCUUUCCCAUUCUCUCUGUUUUCCGCUUUUUACUCUUACCCUGUACAAACUUCUCACAGGAUAGAGAGGUCAAAUACAUAUAUGCCAGGAAUACUCUCCCAGCUCUCCAAUAUACUUCGGACGACCAACAUUAUUUCCUGCGUCCACAUGAGUUGGACUAUCUGGACUGUUAUCGAGGUACAAGUCGGGCAAGAGGUGAAAAUUUGUGGAGUAGCAUGCAGACAGUUAAUGUGGAUACAAUCGUAGCAUGACUAUCACGCUAAAAUAAGUAGAAAUUACCACGAAGAAGAUAAUGCUUAUUAACUAUCUAGCGAACAAGCAUUGCCUCAAGCCAUAAGUGAGUGUUUUGAGCUGAGAUCUGUUGAUAUUCUAAUGACUGAAACUUCGCUCUACAUUCUGCUGAGAGGACGAGAGACGAGACCGAACAAUUUGGCAGUGACCUGUUGCACGAUGAAUCAGUCAUAUCAGUCAAAGAGGAGUUCUGAGGCGAAGAACUCAUGCAGGAAGAUGCUUAUGGCAAUGACCAACCAGCCUCGCCAGAAAUGGAGACUCCAUAGAGCGAGGAAAAUGGAUAACAUUCUUAAAGCUAUGGAGGACAUAGUGACAACAACAUAUCAUCGUUCUGUGCUCGAAAUCCUUCAAUGUGCGCGAGUGCGCUUCUCUGUUCAAAGAAUUUGCAAAAGUUGUUCUAGUUCUAUUGAUCAUCAGUGUAGCACAGUUCUUCUUGUGUUUAUAAAUUUGUAGGUUUGCGUCGAUGAUUAGAUAGCUCGGUUUGUGGAACCUCCAACGACUCUCAUGGGGUCGACUUGACUAGGCGUUGUUAAGGGCUGACAGCUUUCUCACCAACCCUUAAUCAAGCCUUAAGAUUUCAAGUCACCAACUGGCAAGAAGAGAGGCCCACGCAUCAAUUCUUGACAUAGAGCCAUCUUACCUUUGACGCACACAAGUCUGGUCUCAUUGACUUGGUGAAUUAAUGCAGAACCUCUGGUUGUAAUCUCACAGACACACUAAUCGGUUCACCGUUUCUUCGUGCCUUGUCUUGUGGCCCUUUCGAUUUAACCUCUCUCAGAAGAAUCAAUGCAUCAGACCCUGAAGAAGUUUCCGGCCAAAUUCAAGAUCAAGCCUCGACGGCCCUUGAGGAAAUCACAAGUCCGAUUCAAGAUCAAGCGUCCACCAUAUUUGAAUCAAAUCCAGUUCAAGAAUAAGCUGUGGAAAAUCAACAAUUGGAGGAAUCCAAAAAAUCCUCCAACCCAGUUCAAGAUCAAAGCUGUGGAAAGUCAACAAAGCGCAAAAACAAAUACGUGCCGAUUCAUCCACUACCAAAACCAAAGAUCAUCUACCACAUAAAGCUCCUUGUGGUCCAAUUUCAACCUUCAAGAUCAAGCCUCGACGGCCCUUGAAGAAAUUUCGAACAAAGUCCAAGAACAAGCCUCAACGGCCCUUGAAGAAAUCUCCAGCCCAAUUCAAGAUCAAGCCUCGAUGGCCCUUGGAUUGACAACUACAUUAACGGACUUCAAAACGCAUCUCCUACAUGUAACAAGCACAUGUAUACAACGCGCCUUGAAGUGGGGGCAUUUGUAGACAUUGAAAUUUCGGUGGCAUAAAUGUUAGCCAUUGCAUUAAGAUUACAUUUGUAAACAUUGAAAUUUUGGUGAAAUAAAUGUUGACCAUUGUAUUAAAAUUACAACCUUCAUUCACUUCACCUCACCUACAUCAUAGUUUCACUACAAGUUCCACAGUUUCACCUACAAACAUCCACCAAGUUUCACCUACAACAUCCACCAAAAUACAAUCACCUACAACAUCCACCAAAACAAAUGGAUGGUGGUGAUUCGUUCCCAAAGCCUAUAAAUAGGCUCAUCCAUCAAAGAAUCAAUAAACCAAUUCACAAAUACAUUUCUCUACUCCCAAAAUGGAAGAGAAUACUCCCCACACAUCCAAAAUCCUUGAAGCUUUGAAACUCUAAAGCUUUCAAGCAUCCAACCUCCCAAAUUCAAGCAAAUCCCGAAGGAUCAAGAAAGCCCUCUUCGUUCUUCGUCAAAUCCUCCUUCAAGAUCAAGCCCUAACGGCCCUUGAAGAAAUUUCUCCUUCAAGAUCAAGCCCCAACGGCCCUUGAAGAACUUCCACCAAUUCAAGAUCAAGUCUCGACGGCCCUUGAAGAAAGUGUUCAACAAAUCCACACAACUGUUCAUCCUAAGAUCAAGCCCCGACGCCCCUUUUGGAUCAACAACAUCACCAAAUCCACAUAAAUGUUCAUCCUAAGAUCAAGCCCCAACGGCCAUUUGGAUCAACAACAUCAACAAAUCCACACAACUGUUCAUCCUAAGAUCAAGCCCCAACGGCCCUUUGGAUCAACAACAUCAAUAAAUCCACACAACUGUUCAUCCCAAGAUCAAGCCCCGACGGCCCUUGGAUCAACAAUCAUCCAUCUUCAAGAUCAAGCCCCGACGGCCCUUGGAUCAACCAUCCACCAAUUCAAGAUCAAGCCCCGACGGCCCUUGAAGAAAGCACCAUCGUUCAUCAUCCGUUCAUCCAAGAUCAAGCCCCGACGGCCCUUGGAUCAACAACAUCAACAAAUCCACACAUCCAACCGUUCUUCAAGAUCAAGCCCAAAAGCCCUUGAAGAUCCGUUCAUCACCGUUAUUCAAGAUCAAACCUUAACGGCCCUUGAAGAAACACUCAUCCUCAAGAUCAAGCCCCAAUGGCUCUUUGAAGAUCCGCUCAAAUCCACCUUCAAAGAUCAAGCCCACGGCCCCUUGAAGAAACUUCCAACAGUUCAUCCAAGAUCAAGCCUCGACGGCCCUUGGAUCAACGAAACAUCCAUAAAUCAACACCUUACGGAGAUCGAAUCAGAUGAUCAAAAUUGAGAGAGAUUGUAACCCAAAUCAAAAUCACAAAAUAUUAUUUUGUGCACGUUGUUCUUGUCUUUUUCGUUUCAGGAAUUUUCCGUGUUCACACCUGGCAAUUCCUGACACGACCUGAUAAUCCGACACGACACGACACAAAAUUAACAGAUGUUCGGGUCGACACGAUAACGAAUCGGGUGUUAUCGGGUAACCCGAUAAGCAACUGUUAAGAUAACGGGUUAGUUCGAGUAUACAUGUGGAUAACACGAUAAGCACCUGUUAAUAAUUUUAUAACGCUAAAAAAUACUAUAAUAAUUAUAUAUAUUAAUUUAACAAUUUUAUACCCCUAAAAAGUUUAAAACUAUAAUAAUUAUAUAUAUAUAUAUUAAAUUAACUAUAAUAAUUAUAUAUACUAUAAUAAUUAUACCCCCAAAAUAUUAACUAAAAUAAUUAUAAUAAUUAUAUAUACUAUAAUAAUUAUACCCCCAAAAUAUUACUAUAAUAAUUAUAUAUAUAUAUAUAUAUAUUAAGUUUUAAAUUAAAUUUAUACCCCUAAAAACUAUAAUAAUUAUACGUACAAAAUAAAUAGAUUUAAAUCUACAUAAUAUAUAUAUAUAUACACACCAUUGAACUUGAUGGAAUACACGAAACUAAUUUCAACGAUCCAACCAUUAAACUUGUUUGUAUAUGCUUCGAGAUCGCAUCAGCAAAAAAUUGCAAAAAACAAACAUUUAGAGAUCAAGUAACGAGACAAAACUUUUCGACGGUUAUAAAACAAAAAAUUACGAUUUAACAGUUAUUUUAACUCCGAUUUUGAUAUUUUUUACAGCUACACUCGUUGACCAUAUAUGAAUACAAUGAAUGAAUUCGAUUUUCAAUUUAAAAUAUUUACACUAGUGGAUACUACAAAAUUUUAUGUUAUACUUAAUGAAAAUAUAAAUAAACUCUAAGUGUUAGUGAAUCUAUCGUUUUGAUGAGAUACAAACUCUAUGAAACUAAUUUUAACGAUCCAACCGUCAAACUUGUUUGUAUAUGCUUCGAGAUCACAUAUGCCAAAAAUCACAAAAAAAAAACAAUCAGAGAUUAAGUAAUGAGACAAAACGUUUCGACGGUUAUAAAACAAAAAAUCACGAUUUAACGGUUAUUUUAACUCCGAUUUUGAUGAUUUUUUACAACGACACUCCUUGACCCUAUACGAAUUCAAUGAAUGAAUUGGAUAUUCAAUUUAAAAUAUUUACACAAGUGGAUAUCACAAAAUCUUAUGUUAUACUUAAUGAAAGUAUAAAUAAAAUCUAACUGUUAGUGAAUCUAUCGUUUUGAUGAGAUAUGAAUUCUAUGAACCUAAUUUUAACAAUCCAACCGUCAAACUUGUUUAUAUAUGCUUCGAGAUCGCAUACGCCAAAAAUUACAAAAAACAAACAUUCAGAGAUCAAGAAAUGAGACAAAACAUUUCGACGGUUAUAAAACAAAAAAUCAUGAUUUAACGGUUAUUUUAACUCCAAUUUUGAUGAUUUUUUACGACUACACUCAUUGACCCUAUAUGAAUACAAUGAAUGAAUUUGAUCGUCAAUUUAAAAUAUUUACACAAGUGGAUACCACAAAAUCUUAUGAUACACUUAAUGAAAGUAUAAAUAAACUCUAAGUGUUAAUGAAUCUAUCGUUUUGAUGGGAUACGAAUUCUAUGAAACUAAUUUUAAAAAUCCAACCGUCAAACUUGUUUGUAUAUGCUUCAAGAUCGCAUACGCCAAAAAUCACAAAAAACAAACAUUCAGAGAUCAAGUAAUGAGACAAAACUUUUCGACGGUUAUAAAACAAAAAAUCAUGAUUUAACGGUUAUUUUAACUCCGAUUUUGAUGAUUUUUUACAACUACAAUCUUUGACCCUGUACGAAUACAAUGAAUGAAUUUGAUCGUCAAUUUAAAAUAUUUACACAAGUGGAUACCACAAAAUCUUAUGUUAUACUUAAUGAAAGUAUAAAUAAACUUUAAGUGUUAGUGAAUCUAUCGUUUUGAUAUGAUACGAAUUCUAUGAAACUAAUUUUAACGAUCCAACCGUCAAACUUGUUUGUAUAUGCUUCAAGAUCGCAUAUGCCAAAAAUCACAAAAAACAAACAUUUAGAAAUCAAGUAAUGAGACAAAACUUUUUCGACGGUUAUAAAACAAAAAAUCAUGAUUUAACGGUUAUUUUAACUCCGAUUUUGAUGAUUUUUUACAACUACACUCCUUGACCCUAUACGAAUACAAUGAAUGAAUUUGAUCGUCAAUUUAAAAUAUUUACACAAGUGGAUACCACAAAAUCUUAUGUUAUACUUAAUGAAAGUAUAAUUAAACUCUAAGUGUUAAUGAAUCUAUCGUUUUGAUGCGAUACGAAUUCUAUGAAACUAAUUUUAACGAACCAACCGUCAAACUUGUUUGAUAUGCUUCGAGAUCGCAUACGCCAAAAAUCACAAAAAACAAACAUUCAGAGAUCAAGAAUUGAGACAAAACUUUUCGACGAUUAUAAAACAAAAAAUCACGAUUUAACGGUUAUUUUAACUCCGAUUUUGAUGAUUUUUUCAACUACACUCCUUGACCCUAUACGAAUACAAUGAAUGAAUUUGAUCAUCAAUUUAAAAUAUUUACACAAGUGGAUACCACAAAAUCUUACGUUAUACUUAAUGAAAGUAUAAAUAAACCCUAAGUGUUAGUGAAUCUAUCGCUUUGAUGGGAUAUGAAUUCUAUGAAACUAAUUUUAACGAUCCAACCGUCAAACUUGUUUGUAUAUGCUUCGAGAUCGCAUAUGCCAAAAAUCACAAAAAACACACAUUCAAAGAUCAAGUAAUGAGACAAAACUUUUCGACGGUUAUAAAACAAAAAAUCACGAUUUAACGGUUAUUUUAACUCUGAUUUUGAUGAUUAUUUACAACUACACUCCUUGACCCUAUACAAAUACAAUGAAUGAAUUUGAUCUUCAAUUUAAAAUAUUUACACAUGUGGAUACCACAAAUCUUAUGUUAUACUUAAUGAAAGUAUAAAUAAACUCUAAGAGCAAGUCCACCCCUAAGGACUUUGCGCCAGCACCCAGCGUAUUUAUCCACCCAAGUGAACAGUAAUAGACCCCAAUGAACAGUAAUAGGCUAAAGCAGCUCCACCCCUAAAAAUGGACUGGCACCCAGCCCAUCUAAUAUUAUAUUAUUUUAUUCAUAUCAAUUAAUAUUUUAUCAUUUAAUUUAUUUUUUCUUCCUUUCUUUGUCCGGUCCUCACCCUUUUAUUCUCUCUCUCUCUCUCUCUCUCUCUCUCUCUCUCUCUCUCUCUCUCUCUCUCUUUUCCAGCUCACUCCCGUGAGCUCUCUCUCUCUCUCUCUCCUUUUUCUCCAUGUUUUCUUCUUCAAAUGAGCACCCAGCACCUGAAAUGGACCUCUUCCCCCAAAAAUGGGAGGUCGCCGUGGAGGUGCUCCACACCAACGGUUGGGAUCUCGCCGGAGCUCCACACAAACGCUCACAGGCACCUCGUUGUCGUCUCCUCACCGGAGCUCGCCAUGGAGGUGCUCCACACCCACGGAGUCGGAUCUCGCCGUGGAGGUGCUCCACACCAACGCUCCUCGAAAAAUGGACCUCCUCCUCCUCCGCAUUACCCGGCUGGCGUCAGCAUGAGUCAGAUGUACCGGGCAACACCUCAGUCAAUUUUGGACUGGGCUACAGACCAGCUUGCGCUGGGUGCCAGUCAAUUGGGUCGGGUGGAGGGGUUUCACAGGGUGCUGGGCAGUUUUUUCAGCUGGGUGCUGGGCAAAAUGCCCUCCGCUGGAACUGCUCUAAGUGUUAGUGAAUCUAUCGUUUUGAUGAGAUACGAAUUCUAUGAAACUAAUUUUAAUGAUCCAACCGUCAAACUUGUUUUUUAUUAGGCUCUUAUUUUCAUGUGUAGAUGUAGUACUUAAAUGACAAAUAUGUUUUAAUGUUUUGAAGUAAUAUUUAUGUGGUCAAACUUGUUUUUUAUUAGGCUCUUAUUUUCGUGUGUAGAUGUAGUACUUAAAUGACAAAUAUGUUUUAAUGUUUUGAAGUAAUAUUUAUGUGGUAAUGUGUGGUAUAUGCAAAUUUAAGAAAAAAAUAUAUUUUUCUUAACGGGUCAUAAAGGGUCGGGUCACUUUACCCAGGGUCGGGUCACUUUACCCGUUGGGUAAAGUGACCCGACCUGUUAAAGACCCGUUAAGAUAACAUGUGUGACACGACACGACCCGUUACGAUGACAGGUGUUAUACGAAAACGACACGAACACGACAGACACGACCCGUUUGCCAGGCCUACUUCUAUGACAUAUUAAAUACCUCCUUGAGCACAAAAAUAGAAAGAAAGGAGGCAUAACAUAUAAUAACUCUAGUUUGGGCUAAUUCAUUCACAUACUAAGUGUCAAAGAGGUUAAUAUAUAUAUAUAUAUAUAUAUAUAUAUAUAUAUAUAUAUAUAUAUAAUAUAUAUUUUUUUUUUUUUUUUUUUUGGUCGAAGAGGUUAAUAUUUUUAUUGGAACUAAGACUUCUGUUUUAAACAAAAGAAGAAAACACGCGGCAGACAGAAAAACAUAAAGUGGAGUACUUACAUCAGGCCAAGAAUCGAUAAUGAGCUCUGCAAUUCAUUGGCUAUAUCUCAUUCCACAUCAACUUGUUCCUUCUCAGUUGGCCGCUAAAACCAACCAUUCCAAUUUAAUUAUAAGAAAUCAAUAGGAAGGCUAGUAAUUUAUUGUCAAAGUUCACCGUAUAUAGAUUUCCUCAGAUAUAAUUCAUCGUAUAUAGAUUUCCUCAGAAAUACGAUAAAAUACAAUUACAUUAAAUCUAAGGGUUGAAUUGCAAACUCAAGCAUUUCCUUGUAAAUAAAAACUAAUAAUAGCUCAUGACAAAAAAUUUACAGAACACAUAAAGUAGAAACAUUAGUACCUAAUUAGACAUGAAAAUUACAGAAUAAGCCGGAUUAAGCCAUCUAAAAACAGAAUAAGCCACUCAGUACUACGAUGGUCUAGUGAUAUUUCUCUUCACUUUGAAGUGAGAUGUCGUAGGUUCGAAUAUCGUGGAUGGUGAAUUCGAUAUCAAAUUAGGCUGUCUAAUGUGUGACUUAGCCAAACUUCCCCUCCCUUGGUAUAAAAAUACGAUGUACUAAAAAAAAAAAAAAAAAAAAAAAACAGAAAAUUAAUACCACCAUAGCGAAAUACUACAGAAUAAUCUAAUUAUUUAUGCAUUUGGCAAGUUAAAAUAAUUAACUAAAAAACUUGGAGCAAAACAACACUUUAAUUCCAUGGUUGGUUUUAUAUAUGUGUUUGGGCCCAAAAUAAUAGUUUGGGUCGAGUUUAGUGACUCUUGGCGUAGUAACCAUUUAGGGUGUGUUUGUUGCACCAAACUAUCUCGAACUGGACUUAGCUCAUGGACUAACCUAGAUUGACUUAGACUAGAUUAAGCUGGACUAACUUAGUGAAGCGUUUGUUGCAGUGUCAGACUAAAAAGCUGGACUAACAAUAAAUUAUUAUUAUAUUCUAAUUUUUUUUAUUAAGAAUAUCAAAAUUAAUAGAUUAAAGAAAGAGGAUAUCUUCUUCGCCAAUUUCCUGGUGUUCCUCAACACCUUGGAAGUUACAAAAUUUCCAAUAACAAAAGGCUUAAACUUGAUCUUGAAGAUAAACCUCCGCUGCUAAAGACCCAAUUCCCAAAUAUUUUGAUUAUUACAAAUAAAAAGUACCCAUAACCCUAAAAAUACCCAAUCUUCAUCCUUCUCACCCUCAGAUUCCUAUACCCAUGGCCAUGUAUGCGACUGAAGAUAGACAUCGACCACUAAAGGCCGUCGUCGAAGAGUCGAGCUUAAUCAUCCAAAGAAAUCGCCAGAUUAUAUAAUCGAUUCGGUUUGAGAUUUGCAUCGAAUGCGACCGCUAAGAGGAACUCAUCAAUUAAUUUCCCAACGAGCUUGAUCUAGCAGAGAGAGGUAAAGACAAAGAUAGAUGAGGAAAGACGAAGAAGGAGGUAGCAAGUGAGGAAAGCGAAGAAGAAGGCAUAUCGUAGUCCUUGGCAAUCCCAUGGUUUAACACGAGACUAUUUUGGACAAUCUAACGAGGCUCGGAGUCCACACGAGUCCGGGCUAGUCUCAUUUAAGUUAGUCCCCAAGCAUACCAAACAUGAGACAAUAAUCCUAGCUAGUCCAGUCCCACUUAAGAAGGUGAAACAAACACACACUUAGAGUCCUAUCAUGGGCCGUCCAAUCAUCAUCGACCGUCUAGUUAAGGUUGGCCGAAUCCCAUUGCAAAGAGGAUUGGUUUAGAUAAAAAGUAUACUCUAAGAGACGAGCGAUAAUAGUGCUAUACAUACCAGGUUGCUCAAACUACUGGUCAAUAAAGGCCACGAAGAUGGACCCGUCGAUCGUUCCCGACAGCCCUCACUUAAGAAUAAUUUGCCACCAGUGAUACAAGCCGAGACAAUAUAUGGUUGGCUCAAAAUGAUUGACUUAAAGAAAAGGGGUGGAUCAACUAGUAGAUCAGACAUAUUUGACCAAGGAGCGGAAACAACAUCUAUUGAUAUGGUCGAGGUUUAGAGAAUGAUUGAUUCGGCCCUAAAAAAAGGGCCGAAGUUUCCGAAAUUCAUUCACCCAUAUCCAGCAUUCGUAGAAAAGUUUGAAUACCCCAAGAGGUUCAAAAUUCCGGAUUUCAACCUUUUCGCCGGAGAGUCAUCCUUAUAGUCGUUAUAACAUGUAGCUCAAUUCACUGCCCAACGUAGGGACGUUAACAAUGAUUUUCAUAAGCUUCGACUGUUCAAUUUCUCAUUAACCGGCUCAGCAUUCGCGUGGUAUAUAAACCUUUCACCUAAUUCCAUCCAAAGCUGGGAGGAAUUAGUUAAGAAAUUUCAUGAGCAGUUCUAUCGACCAGGGAUGGAUGUGUCAGUAUUUUCUCUGGCCAGGAUGGCUCAAGCUUCUGACGAGUCGCCAAUGGAAUACCUUACGAGGUUUAAGUCGGCCAAAAACUGGUGUCGAGUAUCUAUCCCAGAAGUCGAGUUCGUUAGGCUUGCCUUGAAUGACCUAUAUGUGGAAUACAAAAAGAAAUUUUUGAGGGAAAACUUCGAGAUAUGUACGAACUGGCUUAACAUGUUGAGCAAUAUGAUUAUUUGCUACGAGAAUAAAAUAUUUGAAGCCCCUAUCCUGAGGAACAAUCUACAAGAACCCUACGGUCAGUUAUGCAUCGGUCGAAGGCGAAGAAUCCCAAUAUGCCAGUAUUGACGCGGCCGAGAUAGUGAUUGACAAGCCAUACAUAUGCAAAGCAUUGGCUUAUGCUAAUUCCAAGGAUGCCAAAACCCGCUCGGCCUCUGAAGAAGCUACCAUCAAAACAUCGAAAGUUUAUACUGUUGACAUUACCAAGGCCGACGCCAUCUUCAAGUAGCUGUUGCUCGUGAAAAUUAUCAAGCUUCGGUAAGGGCAUAACAUUUUCAAGGCUGAAGAUUUGAAAGGAAAAACAUAUUGCAAGUACCAUGACUUGAACAAACAUACAACAAACAACUACGUCGUAUUUCGUGAUGUCAUCUAGAUCUGGAUCGACAAUGGUAAGCUCAAGUUCCCCGAGAAACAAAUGGGCGCUGACACCGAUCAUUUUCCUACGGUGACAGUAAACAUGGUAGAUGUUCAUCUACCGAGGGAUAAAGGAAAAUGAAAAGCCGAGUUCGUUCCAAUGCAAUUCAUCCCAAAGCAGAACUCUCAACCACGAUUGAAGAUUGAUUUAUUUUCAAACGAGUACCCCAAGAUUUGAUUGGACCAACUAUUAUCGAGUCAAUGUCGGACUCCAGCACUGAGGAAACCGACGAGCCGAUAAAUCUUAUGUAGUCGGUGUAAAACAAAUGUCAUCUUAACUGAGCCGAAGAAAAAGCUAUUUCGAACUAAAAGGUCACGACAGGCAUCCACAACUGCAACACCAUCCCAAAAGGUACUUGGGGUAGGACAACACUAGAAAGUUUUGAUAGGCUCGGCCCGCAGGUACAAGACAAGAUGCCAUCUUCGGCCAGACGACACCUUGAUUUCAACGUGCAGUUUUACAACGAGGAUUAUUAUACGUGUAACUCUGGUAAUUCAAGUUCACCUGCGAACCAGUGUAUCAUCAGACCUCCUGAGCCACGUGAUCAACACUGGUAUACUUAUAACUCCCCUACCAGUGUAUACAUUGCGUUGUCCAAAUCGUUAAAACGUCGGAGCCAAAGAAUAGAUUGUAUAGCCCGCCGACGAGCAACUUAGGAUACCUCGGUUACCAAGUGGAAGCCGAAGGAAACGACCAAUAAUAAAGAUGACCGAUAACCUCCUGCGAUCAUGAUCGAGUUGCUCCAAGGGAAGAAAGUGAUUGAUCGUGACUUUGAAACCACGAUCGAAGAAUCCAAAAAGUGAAUCAAACUCCUCAUUCAACCUGAGGAAAUAGAAGCUCGCCUCGAGCACUUCCGGAAUGAGAUUAAGAGCAAACUUCCCCUGCUAUCUACACAAGAACCGUUGAUCAGAGUUAGAUAGAAUCUCCACCCACCAUUUCUUAGUGAAACUUUAGAAUACAUGCGAGAGUUUCACAAGAAGCAUUCGGCAAAUGAUUUAUACGGCUUGCCGAAAGCAUGCCAAGAUACUCUUGAUCUUGUUCUAACUUGCCCCGAUGUUGAAUGAAUCAUCCAAAAGACCUCAGAUCCGGGGAUGAAAGCUAGGUUCCAACAUAUACGAGAGCCUUGAGUUUUCGACUUCGAGGUAGAUCCAUAUAUUGAUAUUGACGCUGCCGAACUUCCUCUUUCGAUGACCUUCAAUAUUUACGAUACUAUUUCAAAGUCUUUUCAGAUGUUUCUCUCUUCGACCUUACUGUCGAUGAAAAGGAAUGCGUAGCACAAUUAGAUGCUUACCUUGACACGAGAGAUACUCGCAUCACAUAUCAGGAGCAAACUCAUAUGUCGUCACAAGACCAAAACCCAGUUUUAACACUGAACGAACCUGAGGUCAACAUGCAGAAUGAGAAGACUCUAGUGAACAUACCGCAUGAGCAUACCCCGGCGUCAGCUGAAAAAAGCAAGCAAAUACUGCCCAUACGUAGGACACCUCACCCGAAAGUCCAGAAGAAGAAGAUCAUGACCCGAUAGGUCAUUCGGUCAUCGACAACAGGGAAAUCAGCAUGGUCUAUGUUUUACCUACCGAGUUCCAACCAACCACAUCCCAACCAAAUUUCCUGGACAGCAACGUGGUUGCCGAGGAAGCCACGCAAGUUGAUUUUAUGGUCGCCGAAGAGAUUUAGCAAGCAACAAAAGAAGAUAAACUUAAAACAGUUUUUGCCGAAUUGUUUCCUCACUUUUCAUCAGUUAAUCUCCAUCAUCUUAAGCCGUUAUAUGUUAUGGCUCAUAUUGAAGGAUAUCCGGUCUUCAAAAUUUUCAUCGACUAUGGAGCAACGGUCAACAUCAUGCCUGUUGUUAUCAUGAACACAUUACGUCGUUCCAACGACGAACUUAUUCCAUCAGGGGUCACCAUGAGCAGCUUCGUCGGUGACAAAUCCCAGACCAAAUGAGUGCUUCCGUUGGAGGUAAUUAUCGUAGGUCGUAAUCACAUGACUGUAAUUUUCAUAGUCGAUUCAAAGACAGGGUAUAAUGCAUUUCUUGAUCAUGACUGGAUCUAUCAAAUGAGCUGCAUCCCCUCGUUAUUAUACUAGGUCAUUAUCUUUUGAGACGGCAAAUCGAUCUUAGUUCAUCUAGCCGACAAUUAGCCAUUCGAAGCAAAUAUGAUUCAAGCUCGUUAUUAUGACGAUCACGUCGGCUACAUCACCCUGCAAGCGUUUGAUGAGGAAUGACGGUCGACUUAGAUCUCAGUUCAGAAAGCCAUCGAGGUAAGCGCCGAGAUUGUUCAUUAAGAUUCGGCGAAACUAGGGUUGGCCGACCUAGUUGCCGAUCCUGAUGUCUGGUACCAAACUAGAUAGAUGCUGGGCCAUGGUUUCAUCCAUCAUAGAACGACUACUGGCGCAUUGGUAUGCUAUUUCUAGGUAGCUAAAUUCGGGUGUGAACUUGGUAGAGUUUCUCGCCGAAGGAAACAACAGUCCAGUUUUAUCACUUGACAAGAUUCAAGCUGCCAUGGCCGAGCUCGAAGACAGUCGGGCCCAAGUCAAAGAACCUUUAGAGGAAGUAAAUGUCGAAACGGCCGAAAACCCACGGCCUUUGUUUAUUAGUGCUUUGUUACCCCAACCUAUGAAAACUGCACUUUGUAAUUUACUCAAGGAAUUUAAAGAUUGUUUUGCUUGAGUUACCAUAAGAUGCCUAGUUUAGACCGAACGUUCAUCUAGCACGAAUUACGCAUCAAACCUGGUUGUAAACCGUUCCUCCAACCCCUCCCCCCCCCCCCCGACGAUUCUCGACCGAAGUACAACUUGGCAUAAAAGAUGAACUCGUUCGACUUUUAAAAGCUGGGUUUAUCCGGACAACUCGAUACAUUGAAUGGCUGGCGACCAUCGUCCUAUUUUUACAGAAAAGUGGUGCUCUACAUAUUUGUAUCAAUUUUUGAAAUUUGAAUUUGGCAACCCCUAAAGACGAGUAUACAAUGCCAAUUUUAGAUUUGUUAAUCGAAGUAGUAGUACACCAUGAGAUAUUAUCCUUCAUGAAUGGUCAUGCUGGUUACAACCAGAUUUUCAUUGCUGAGGCCGACGUCUAUAAAAUUACUUUUCGUUGCCCAUGGGCACUCGGGACUUACGAAUGGGUCGUCAUGCCAUUUGACUUGAAAAACACUGGUGCCAUAUGCCAACGUGCUAUGAAUACGAUUUUUCAUGUUUUAAUUGGUACCAUCAUCGAAGUCUAUUUUGAUGAUGUUGUAGUUAAAUCAAAACAUCGCCGAACACAUUUAGAUGAUCUUCGGCAGGUUUUCCUUCAAAUGCGCCAACAUAACCUUAAAAUGAAUCCUGCCAAAUAAGCAUUUGGUGUAUCGGUCGGCAACUUUUUAGGUUUUCUUGUACAUCAUCGUGGCAUUGAAGUGGACACAAAUAAAGCUCGGGUGAUCAUCGAUGCUCCACCUCCGACAACAAAGAAACAAUAACAAUCACUACUCGAUAAAGUCAAUUUCCUCUGCCGUUUCAUUUCUAACUCGGCAGGGAAGAUGAAAGCUUUCUCCACGCUCUUGAAACUUAUAGAUUCGGACAAAUUCGAAUGGCGUGAGGAGCACCAAGAUGCUUUCACGAAGACAGCCAACGGAUUCCUCGGCGGCCAAAAUAUACAACUUGAGUGAUUUACCGCGCCGAGGUGGCACAAUGACAUGUGGGUUAGUGAGGGAGACCCUAAUUUGUUUACUUUUAUUAAUUAAAUUCGUUUUUAAUUUAAGUAGGUUAUAAACUCAAUCAUCUCAAUUUCUACUUUACAAUAAUUAAUUGGAAUUUGGUUUGUUUCGAAUUAUUUAAUAAUUCCUGUGGAGAACGACCUUGCGAGAUCCGUUUAUACUACAAUAACUUUGUCAUUCUUACAAGUAUUAUAGGAGUUUUUAGCCCGUUUACGUGUGUAGUAAAAUCCGUAUCACCUUUCUUCAGACAGACUUUGAUCCCCCGCCAAAACCUGUAAGUGACACAUCAACUGGUAGAAGUGGCGUGCCUAUAGGUACGGUGGUUGGAAUUGUGGUUGGGGGAGUCUUAAUUAUACUACUGAUAUUUGGUGUUCAUUGGAAGAGAGGCCUCUUGGGGCAACAAAAGACAUUGGAGGAUGGUAUUAAUUUGCAGUUUAUUCUGUUAUACUGGUUUUUCCUUUUUGUUUCUCCAUUACUUUUUCUCAUCGACCUUUUUUCGUAACUAAUUAAGUACAACAUUUAUGCUAUUUUGCAUGGUUCUCCUGCAUAUUGACGUGCACUACAAAGACAGUAAUUAUUUAGAUAUUGAGCUUUCCGGCACUUUGAUGUUGCUGUAAUAUAUUUAUCUUCCAAACUCAUGAUGCAAAGUGUCUGCCUUACUUGUUAAAUUCUAGAAUCAGGCACAAAAUAUUAAGAACUAAGAAUGCUGUCGUUCUGAAAGUUUUCUUAAGACACAAUUUCUUAUGAGUUUUACUUGUUAUAUAGAUUUGAAGGGUGUGGACCUGCAAACUGGUAAAUUUACCUUCAAGCAACUCAAAGAUGCCACAAGCAACUUUAAUAGAGGCAAUAACUAGGUCUGGCAAACGGAUCGUGUCAAUCGUGUUCGUGUAACAUCUGUUAUCUUAACGGGUCGUGUCGUGUCACACCUGUUAUUUUAACGGGUCCUCAACAGGUCGGGUCACAAAACGCUUACAUUUUGCAUAUCCUUGCACAUUUAAAGUGACCCGACCCGUUAUGACCCGUUAAGAAAAAUAUUUUUUUUUCUUAAAUUUGCACAUACCACACAUUGUCACAUAAAUAUUACUUCAAAACAUUAAAACACAUUUGUCGCUUAAGUACUACAUCUACACUCGAAAAUAAGAGCCUCAUAAAAAAUACAUCCAUACACUACUAAUUUAUUACAAAUAUUAAAUGUGCAAGGAUAUGCAAAAUGUAAGCGUUUUUGUUUUCAAGGUUGUGAAGCCUUUCUCAAAAGUUUAAACCUUGCCAAUGGAACUCAAAGCUUAAUGAAACUGACCCACUAGUGUGUUUAUUCGUACUUUCAUUAAGUAUAGCAUAAGAUUUUGUGGUAUCCACUAGUGUAAAUAUUUUAAAUUGAAUAUCGAAUUCAAUCAUUGUAUUCAUAUAGGGUCAAGAAGUGUAGUUGUAAAAAAUCAUCAAAAUCGGAGUUAAAAUAACCGUUAAAUUGUGAUUUUUCGUUUAUAACCGUUGAAAAGUUGUGUCCCGUUACUUAAUCUUUAAAUGUUUGUUUUUUACAAUUUUUGGCGUAUGUGAUCUCGAAGUAUAUACAAACAAGUAUGACGGUUAGAUUGUUGAAACUAGUUUCGUAGAAUGCGUAUCCCAUCAAAACAAUAGAUUCACUAACACUUAAAAGUUUAUUCUUACUUUCAUUAAGUAUAACAUAAGAUUUUGUGGUAUCCACUAGUGUAAAUAUUUUAAAUUGAAGAUCGAAUUCAUUCAUUGUAUUCAUACAGGGUCAAGGAGUGUAACUGUAAAAAAUCAUCAAAAUCGAAGUUAAAAUAACUGUUAAAUCGUGAUUUUUCGUUUAUAACCGUCGAAAAGUUUUGUCUCGUUACUUGAUCUCUAAAUGUUUGUUUUUUGCAAUUUUUGGCAUAUGCAAUCUCGAAGUAUAUACAAACAUUUUUUACGGUUGGAUCGUUGAAACUAGUUUCAUAGAAUGCGUAUCCUAUCAAAACAAUAGAUUCACUAACACUUAAGAGUUUAUUCAUACUUUCAUCAAGUAUAACAUAAGAUUUUGUGGUAUCCACUAGUGUAAAUAUUUUAAAUUGAAGAUCAAAUUCAUUAAUUGUAUUUAUAUAGGGUCAAGGAGUAUAUCAUUAAAAAAUCAUCAAAGUCGGAGUUAAAAUAACCGUUAAAUUGUGAUUUUUCGUUUAUAACCGUCGAAAAGUUUUGUCCCGUUACUUGAUCUUUGAAUGUUUCUUUUUUGCAAUUUUUGGCCUAUGCGAUCUCGAAGCAUAUACAAACAAGUUUGACGGUUGGAUCGUUGAAACUAGUUUCGCAAAAUGCGUAUCUCAUCAAAACAAUAGAUUCACUAACACUUGAGAGUUUAUUUAUAUUUUCGCUAAGUAUAACAUAAGAUUUUGUAGUAUCCACUAGUGUAAAUAUUUUAAAUUGAAGAUCGAUUUCAUUCAUUGUAUUCAUAUAGGGUCAAAGAGUGUAGCUGUAAAAAAUCAUCAAAAUCGGAGUUAAAAUAACCGUUAAAUCGUGAUUUUUCUUUUAUAACCGUCAAAAGGUUUUGUCCUGUUACAUGAUCUCUGAAUUUUUAUUUUUUUGCAAUUUUUGGCAUAUGCGAUCUUGAAGUAUAUACAAACAUGUUUGACGGUUGGAUCGUUGAAACUAGUUUCGUCGAAUGCGUAUCCCAUCAAAACAAUAGAUUCACUAACACUUAAGAGUUUAUUCAUACUUUCAUCAAGUAUAACAUAAGAUUUUAUGGUAUCCACUAGUGUAAAUAUUUUAAAUUGAAGAUCGAAUUCAUUCAUUGUAUUCAUAUAGGGUCAACGAGUGUAGAUGUAAAAAAUCAUUAAAAUUGGAGUUAAAAUAACCGUUAAAUCGUGAUUUUUCGUUUAUAACCGUCGAAAAGUUUUGUCCCGUUACUUGAUCUCUGAAUGUUUGUUUUUUUCAAUUUUUGGCGUAUGCGAUCUCGAAGCAUAUACAAACAAGUUUGACGGUUGGAUCGUUGAAACUAGUCUCGCAAAAUGCGUAUCUCAUCAAAACAAUAUAUUCACUAACAAUUAAGAGUUUAUUCAUAUUUUCAUUAAGUAUAAUAUAAGAUUUUGUGGUAUCCACUAGUGUAAAUAUUUUAAAUUGAAGAUUGAAUUCAUUCAUUGUAUUCAUAUAGGGUCAAGGAGUGUAGCUGUAAAAAAUUAUCAAAAUUGGAGUUAAAAUAACCGUUAAAUCAUGAUUUUUCGUUUAUAACCGUCGAAAAGUUUUGUCUCGUUACUUGAUCUCUAAAUGUUUGUUUUUUGCAAUUUUUGGCGUAUGUGAUCUCGAAGUAUAUACAAACAUGUUUGACGGUUGGAUCGUUGAAACUAGUUUUGUAGAAUGCGUAUCCUAUCAAAACAAUAUAUUCACUAACACUUAAGAGUUUAUUCAUACUUUCAUCAAGUAUAACAUAAGAUUUUGUGGUAUCCACUAGUGUAAAUAUUUUAAAUUGAAGAUCAAAUUCAUUCAUUGUAUUCAUAUACGGUCAAUGAGUGUAGCUGUAAAAAAUCAUCAAAAUCAGAGUUAAAAUAACCGUUAAAUCUUGAUUUUUCGUUUAUAACCGUCGGAAAGUUUUGUCUCGUUACUUGAUCUGUGAAUGUUUGUUUUUUUGUAAUUUUUUGCUGAUGCGAUCUCGAAGCAUAUACAAACAAGUUUGACGGUUGGAUCGUUGAAAUUAGUUUCGUAUAAUUCGUAUCCCAUGAAGUUCAGUGGUGUGUGUGUAUAUAUAUAUUUAUUUAUUUAUUAAGUAGAUUUAAAUCUAUUUAUUUUGUAUGUAUAAUUAUUAUAGUUUUUAGGGGUAUAAAAUUUAAUAUAUAUAUAUAUAUAUAUAUAUAUAUAUAUAUAUAUAUAUAUAUAGAACUAUUAUAGUUAAUAUUUUGGGGGUAUAAUUAUUAUAGUAUAUAUAAUUAUUAUAAUUAUUAUAGUUAAUUUAAUAUAUAUAUAUAAUUAUUAUAGUUUUUAGGGGUAUAAAAUUGUUAAAUUAAUAUAUAUAAUUAUUAUAGUAUUUUUUUUAGGGUUAUAAAUUAUUAAAUUAAUAUUCUGCUUAUCGUGUAUCGUGUUACCCACGUGUAUACCCGAACAACCCAUUAUCUUAACAGGUGCUUAUCGGGUUACCCGAUAACGACCCGCUUCGUUAUCGUGUCGACCCGAACACCUGUUAAUUUCGUGUCGUGUCGUGUCAGAUUAUCGGGUCGUGUCAGGAAUUGCCAGGCCUAGCAAUAACAUUGGUGAAUGUGGUUUUGAUUCUGUUUAUAAGGUAUUCUUUGGAGCAAAUAAUUUAUUUAUUGAUUAUAUAUUUUUUUCUAGUUUGACACUGUCCGUUCUAAUGAAAGUUAAUUUGCUCCAUAGUGAUGCGAAUUUGACUAUCUUUCUUAAAUGUAGGGCAUUCUAGCAGAUGGCACCGUAAUAACUAUUAAGCAGCUGUCUUCCAAAUCAAAGCAAGGGAAUCAUGAAUUUGUUAAUGAGAUUGGCAUGAUUUCUGCUCUGCAACACCCUCAUCUUGUCAAGCUCCACAUAUGUUGUAUUGAAAGAAAUCAAUUAUUGCUUGUCUAUAAGUACCUGGAAAAUUAUAGCAUCGCUCAUGCUUAUCUUCAGUAAAUAUUAGUCUUGUUUGCCAAAAGUUCAUUUCAUCAUAUAGUGGCAUAAAAGAUCUUAUGCACUAAAAAUAUGUCCCUUACAACUAACUUUGUUUAAUUUGGCAAAUUGAACGGGUGAAGAAAGUCAUUAGAAGUUGGAUUGGCCAACAAGGCACAAGAUUUGUAUUGUUACAGCAAGAGGUUUGGCUUAUCUUCAUGAGGAAUCAAGAUUGAAGGUCGUUCAUAGAGACAUCAAGGCUACUAAUGUUCUGCUUGAUAAAAAUCUUAACCAGAAAAUAUCUAACUUUGGAUUGGCCAAGCUUGAUAAAGAGGAUAAUACACACAUUAGCACCCGUAUUGCUAGAACUUAGUGAGUCCCUAAACUUUUAUUUAUCUUCUUAUUCUCUUGUUUUGAUCUUCUUCCACCCUUAAAAAAGAAGAUAGAGCAAUGGAAAGUCUAUAACUUACAUAAUUUUCAACCUAACCAAAUCUUUGUUGUUCAAGAAAUUUCAAGGGCAGAUUUGUUCUUUGAAUAUAGUUGUAUUACUAUGUAUCUCUCUAACUAUUGCAUUAAUCUUAAGUAUUCAAUUAGCAAUAUUUUUACUAAUUAUUUUAGCUAAAUCUGGGUUAAUGAUGUGAUUUCAUGAUUUGCAGUGGAUACAUGGCGCCCGAAUAUGCAAUACGGGGUUAUCUGACUGAUAAAGCAUAUGUCUAUAGUUUUGGUACUCUCGUAUUGGAAAUUGUUAGCGGGAGAAACAACACAACUUACUGGAAAAAGGAAGAAAGCUUUUAUCUUCUUGAUUGGGUAACAUGAAUCCACUACUUCCUAAUUUAACUUCAAAUUUUCUUAAUAUACCUUAUAUAUGUGAAAGUACAUUUGAAUCGGUGAAGUUUAAACCAAAGACAGAAUUUAUAUUGCUUUUGUUACAUCCAUUUUUUGUAGGCACGACUUCUAAAAGAGCAAGGGAAUUUGAUGGACCUAGUUGAUCCAAGGUUGGAAUCAGACUUUAACAAAGACGAGAUGACUGUUGCAAUCAAUGUGGCUCUCCUUUGUUGCAAUGUUACUUCGACAGCUAGGCCUACCAUGUCUUUGAUUGUGAGCAUGCUCGAAGGAAAGGCUGUUGUUCAGGAGUUGGUCUCGGAUCCAAAUGCUGAGAGUAUUGAGAUCGAUGCAAUGAGGAAACAUUUUCAAUCUAGUUUUGGAAGGGGCAUGGGCGAGAAACAGAUAGAAACAGAGUCAAUUGAAGGGCCAUGAACUGCUUCGUCUGCGUCUGCUCACGAUCUUUAUCUCGUCAAUCCUGAUUCAAAUUACUGGGGGAACAGAAGCGAGAGAACUUGAGCUGCACGGUUAUCAGUUCGACUUAACCUUAGCACACUCAAAACAUAUCAGCUAAUAAAUCAUCUGUAUUUCCUCUAUAACUAUUUUCUUUUUUUUGUUUGAUAAUAUAGUAGAAAGCAUAAUUGAAGAAGUUUCUACAGCAUGGUAAUUGUAAAAUCAGUUCUUUUCAGUAUUUUGUAGUAUGAUAAAAUGAUUUUCUUUUCGAAUAAUCGAAUAGAGUAAGUUGGUUGAACACUAUACUAUUUUGGCUAUGUGGUGGUUUGUGAAGAGAGGAGAUAAUGUACACCAAAUUCGAAAAGGAUGGGAAUAGAGUAAGUUGAUUAAGAGAAGGAACUUAAAUUUAGUAAAAUCGGAAAUCAUUUGUGGAGGAUUUUUCUAUAUCAAUAUAUUGUUAAUAUACAAGGUAAAGCAAGAUUCAGAGGAUAUGCAUGAAAAGAAAAAUGAUACCUGACGUAAAUCAUUGCCAAAAAGAUAAACAAAUUGCCAAGUUUUCUUAAAUUUAGUUUUGGAAGUUCUGAAAUUUACUUCAAUUGCAUUGAUUUUGAUUGUACUAGAAUACAGGUAUAUAUAAAUACAAGAAUUCCUACUACAUAGGUAAUUGGUACAAACUAAGUAAUCAGCCUGUGAUGCUUUACCUUAUUAAGAACGCCCAACUUGCCUAAUAGAGAUUUAAAAUGUUCAUUCCCCAAAGCUUUAGUGAAAAUGUCGGCAAGCUGUGACAUGUUGACAACUUUUCAUUCCAUGAUUUUAUUUCCGACAAAGUAACAAUCAAUCUCAAUACGUUCAUGAAAUACUGAAUUUGCGGCAAUGUGAAGAGCAGCGUGAUUAUCACAAAACAAAGUUGCAGCCCCCUUGUUGCCAAGUUAUAGACCACGAAAUAGAUUUUGUAACCAAGCCAACUCGCAAUAGGCUGCUGCCAUGGAUCUAUACUCUGCUUCGGCAGAGGACAAAGAAAUUGUCUUUUGACGUUUGUUGUUCCACGAAACAAGAGAGUCUCCAAGAAAAACUCAAGAAUCAGUGGCGGGUCGCAGAGUGGUUGGCCAUCCUAUCCUAUCCAAGUCACAAUAUGCAUUCAACUUCAAAUCAUUUUCUGAAGAAAACAUAAUACCUCGUCCGGGUGUCCGUUUUAAGUAUCUCAAAAUCCAUAAUGCAGCCUCAUAUCAUGGCUUCCGAGGUGCUUACAUGAAUCUACUCAACAAGUGGACCAAGUACAUGAUAUUUGGCUAGGUAAUAGUGAGAUAAAUUGGACGACCAAUCAAUCUCCUAUAUUUAACAUGAUCAUUGAGAAUUUCACCCUCAUUAGGAGAAAUUUUUCAUUGUAACGAGAACACACGUGGUAAACCACGUGUCAUUGUGUAAGUGGUGGAAAAUUUUAUUUUUUAAGCUAUUACCUUUUUAACACACAUAUGAUAUAUCCUACCAUUUAUACAGUAACACGUGGUGUACCACUUCGUAUGCCGGUCACUCUGAAAAAUCUCUCCCUCAUCAGAAAGCAAUUUGAGAUUUUGCUCCAUAGAGAAAGUGCAAGGUUGUGAUCCUAAAAGACCCACAUCAUUGAGAAUAUCCAACAAGCAUUUCCUUUGUGACAUAAAAAUCCCCCUUUUUUAACACGCCAUUUCUAUGCCCAAAAAGUAUUUUAAAUUACUAAGAUCUUUGCUAUAGAACUUGGUAUUUAAAAAAUGUUUUAGACUAUUAAUUGCAGUUGAAUCAUUUUCUAUAAUCAAAAUGUCGUCAACAUAAAUAAGGGGUGAAGUAAAUGACUUGCCUUUGUGUUUAGUGAAAAGCGAAUAAUUUGCUUUUGAUUGAACAUAACCGGCGAACCGAAUGGCUUGCGAAAACUUGAAAAAUCAUUGUCGAGAGACUUGCUUCAAACCAUAAAGUGAUUUAUUGAGGCAACAUAUCAGUUUCUCCCCCUAUCGGCGAAGAUUGAAAGGUGGGACCAUGUAUAUUUCCUCCAUGAGAUCACCAUGAAAGAAGGCAUUAUGAACAUCCUAUUGAUGUAAAGACCAUGAAUAGGCGGUGGCAAGAGCAAUAAGGCAGCGGAAUGUGACCAGUUUGACAGUAGGGGAAAGAUAUCAUGAUAAUCAAUACCCUUUGAGUGUACCUCUUAGCGACCAAAUGAGCUUUGUAACACUUAAUACCAUUGGAUUAGUACUUGACUUUGUAGACCCAUUUGCAACCAAUGAGUGAUACUCCAUAUGUUGUUAGCCUUGAGAGCUUGGAUUUUGUCAUCCAUGACUUGAUUCCAUUUAGGAUAUGUGCAAGCUUCUGCUUAUGUGGUUGGCUCCAUAUGGUAGAAAUACUAGCAAGAAAGGUAGAAUAUAGGGGCAACAAGUGGAUACCUGGUACUGGAACUGGAAGACGAGGGCGUAAUGGGGCAAUGUAAGAGAGGGACAAACAUAGUCACUGAGCUUCGCAGGUGGAGUUAUGAGGCGAUUACAUCCUCGUAAAGGGAUAUCAGAGAGCUAGUCAUCAGGCUGCAUGGUAGGGAGCUGAUCAUCAGGCUGCGUGUCAGGGAACUAAUCAUCAAGCUUCGUGAUAGGGGCAAGGUGCUCAUCAGGUGACUACAUGUUAGAAAGCUGAUCAUCAGGAGCAAUAUCAACAGAUGUCUCGACAUUUUGUAGGGCAUUGGUGGGGUCAUGCAGUUUAUGAGAUAGUGAGCAAGGCUCAAUGCAUGGAUUGAAUAUAGGUGUCUGAUAGCUAUUUGUAAGGGGAUUUAAUUCUUUUUGGCCAUGAUAGGGAAACAAAUCCUCGUAAAAAACAUCUCGACUCGUAAAAAUAUGUUUGGAUUGAAGAUCAUAUAAUUUGUAUAUUUUUGUCCUAAAAGGUACCCAAUGAAAAUUCAGGAGGGUGCCAUCAGAUAAGCCCACGGUAGGCAAUGGUGGUUUAAAUGUUGCUUGGGCCAAUGGAAGACCUGAAACGUGGUAUGUUGCACCACUGUCUAAUACCGACUCGUUAGAAACCCUACCUGCAGCGGUGACUGCGUGGGCUUUGCUUUCCAGGCCUACCUUAUGGCUCAUCAGCGAUAAAAGUUACUGGAACUGCUUUUGAAUAAGGUUGGGCAUCAUGUCAGCACACCCUGUGGAUUAAAUGUUGUUGACCAAUGAAACCCCCCUCUGGAACUGUUACCUUUAGUUUUCUUUUUGUGAUCGCCAUCACAGGUUUCUCUGGAUUUUCCAUGAAGACAAUGACUAGGCAGAUAAUCGUGAAGUAUUUCCAGCAGGUGUCAAAGGUGUGAUGGUCAUGGUCACAGUACAAACAGUGGAAAGGUUUACGUUCUAUCGAUCGUUCCUUGCCAUUAUUGGAUGAAGACUGCACCGCCAUGGCUGCGGGUUCAAUCAAGGCUUGCACAAUGGUUAUGCCUCAUUGCUUCUCUUCCUGAUAAAAGAGAGAAUAGAUCUUGCAAAUGAACAGAAGGGUUGCAUUGUUGAAUAUCUCACUUCUAACUCAUCAUUGCUAGCUCAUCAAAACAGUUGUAAAUGAUUGGAUGAUGUAAUAGUUAGUUGAAAAAGUUAGUUAGAGUUUGUUGCUCAAAGCUUAUGAGCUAGGUCCUAUAGGCUAUAUAGUCAACUAUAUAUAGCUGUCGUAAACAUGAUCUUUUGUCAUGAUCUUAUCAAACAUGAAGCACGUGAUUCUGUCUCAGGUUUCUUUUGGGUAAAUGAUAUGGCAGGGUCUUGAAGCUUGAUUCAAUUGUGGGAGGCAAGUUAUGGAAAAAUAUUGAUGUGCUCAUCUUUAACACUUGGCAUUGGUAGAAUCGUAGAUGACCCUCUCAAUCGUGAACAUAUCUUCAAUUUGGAGAAACAGUAAUGUGUUGGCAACCAGCAACAUCUUCAGUUUGGAUAAACAGCACUGGAGCUGUAGAAUCAGCCGAUCGAGGAUCACCUUCAGUUUGGAUAAAUAACAUUGUUUUGAGACCAACUGGUUAUCUAUCCAAGUUUUGGCCAUCAAAGAUUUCCGAAUCUUUGUUGGAAGAUGUCAUCUCAUUAGCCUUCUAGGUAAAGUGAGGUGUUACAAGGUUACGACAUUCGGCACACUGAAAGUCAAAUACUUAUUGAACUUCGCAGAACUAGUAGCCUUGUCUUCAGACUCCAGAACCCAAAGGUCAAUAUGUGUUCCAUCCUCGACUGCAGUCACAAGAUUCAGAAGUCAUUAGCGCGCCUAACACCACAUUAACAUUCAUUCACUCCCCGGCCAAGCUCGGCCAACGAGUUGGCACGCCUUACAUUCAACUAAAGGAUGUAGUUAGCUUAUUAGCUAUUCGGCCUAUACACCACGUAGGCUAAGUAGUUUUUAAGGUGAACACCAUGGCAUCAAUCAAAUUAAUAGUCUCUUAUUUUCUCUUUUUUUUUUUAAUUUUAAUUUUAGUGGCAGUGAGUGGCAUGAACCAAGGGCAAGAAGAUGUGUAGGGCAGAAUGAGCCUUUGCUUAGGUCGACCUAUCCAGGAGCUUUGCCACCAGCUCUGGGUGCGCUGAGGAAUGUGUUAAGCACAAUAAAAAAGCUCGUGACAUUGCAAGAUAUAACAAGCCUCUCACUCAUGCGUAAAGAUGGACAUCCUUCAAUCUAUGGACUGGGAGGCCAAUAACUGCAAGCAAGGAAUGGAUGACAAUGGUAGCAAUAGCUGCAACAGGCCAACAUAUAAAAAUAGGAUAUUACUAGAGAAACUAAAUUUUUUAAAUUAAAUUUCAAACCAAAUGAUUUGUCAACAAUAAGAAACAAGUACGUUAAUAGACACUUAAUUAAUAAUCCAAUCAUCUACAACCACAUCAUUUAGUUUGCAAAUUUGGUUUUAAAAAAUUUAGUUUUCCUAGCAUUACUCUAUCCAUAAAGAUAACAUCUAGGGAAACCCAAUCGGUGAAGUAUAGCAAACAACUAUUCACUAAGGAAUGAGGAUCCUCUUCGAAUCCAUUUUGUGAGGAUCUCAAGAAUCAUUCAAUCACGUCUGUUCAUCGUACAUCGUGUGGUAACAAUUAUUGUAAAUUUUUUUAUUUAAAAUUAAAUAUAAAUAAUACCUGAUGAAAACUGGUAAUGUACAAUGAACAGACAUGAUUUGAGGAUUGCCGAGAUUCUCACAAAAAUUAUCCGGAAAGGACCCCCAUUCUUCACUAAGGAAUAAACUAGAAAUUAUAAUAUUAAAAUGCAUAAUGGUUACCAAGCAAGCAAAUUUAUUGGGACUUGGAUUGUUUGCCUCCCCAUCCCAUACCCUCCAUAUGCCCUUAUAUUUCUAUGGUCAUGGUUAAACCACGUUAACAUUUUAUAUUUGCAUUGCUUUUUGUUUUAUUAUUUUUAUAAAAAAAAUUAAUAUAAAAUAUUGACGUGAUUUAACCGUGACCACAAAAUAUAGGAGGGCAUGAGAAAUGUAUAGAAUGGGGGAGGACAGACAAUCCAAGUCCAAUUUAUUGGCCUUGAAGUACCCAUGCCUGCAGAAGACAGAACCCAAAGUAACUCGGGAACUCAAACGUGGCCAAUUCAUCCAAGCAAAACAAUUAAAGCAUCCAAGGAGCCGAAACGACAUCCCAUUACAACCAUUAAACAUCAAGGAGAAUGGAAAACAUAUGAACUUUUUUUAUGAUGCUUUAUGAAUGAUGAAUUGAAAUAUAAACGGCUCAUACCUUUGAAAAAAAAGAAUUACAAAAUGAAAACCACAAAAAUUGUGUUAAAAUGUGUGUCAAAUAUAUGAGGAUGUGUAUAUAUAUGCACACCCACAUAUACACACACACACUUAAACGUGUAGCACUGGGUAUAGGUAGCAAAAGGCCACUUGUGAUGAGUGCUUGAUUCUAAAAUGUAGUAUUUCUCUCAAACAUUUGACUAUUACUUUAGUCAUGGAAUGCUGAUCAAAAUGCAAUUAAAUAGUAUCACUUAGAAUCAUAACUCUUGGCUUAUAGUAUGAAAAAAUAACAGAACAUUUGUAUAUUGCUUGCAAGUAAUUAGCUUCAGUUAGUCAACUCCAGCAACUUGAUUAAGAAAGCAUGUACAUAGAGCUGCGCAAUUACCAUGUCCACAUUUCCUGAUCAGGAAAUUUCCCAUGCUUGGCUUAGUUGAAAAUAGCAGAUAAGUCAAGAGUGUAUUUUAAAUUACUGUUACUUAAUUAUUCUAAAGUUCAUAAUCAAUAUUAAUUACUAGCAGCUUAUUAUAUACUGUUGUCAAAAUCGUGAGUUGGACUGUUGGUAAGGGUUUUUAAUUAGGGAACUUUAACGAAAAGCACCCGGUACUGUUCAUUUUAACGAAAAACCACAUUUUUACACUAAAAAGUCAAUUUUGGUACUAUUCACUUUACCUUUUAUUUUGUCCUUAUCAUUAAAACUCAAAGUUUUCAAGCUCUUUUCAUUAGUUUUCCUUUUUAAUUAAGCUGACUUUGGGCCCCAAAUAAUAAAGUGUCGACAUAAUACCUGUUACUUCAACAACAACGAAUAUGAAAAAAAAAAAACCCUUGAUUGUCAGUUGCUUGUUGUAAAUAUAAUUUUUUAUGUAAUCUUUCGUUUUCUUCCUGCUUACGUCCAUUGUCAGCUAAACAUCAGCUCUUUGUUUUUGUUGUUAAAAAACGGCUUUCUAAUAUUAUAGAAUUCCCACUUGAUCUAACAAUUGGGAUAAUUAUUCGAAAGAAAAAAAUACAAUUGAGAUAAUUAUAACAAAUCAUCUCAACUAUUUGCAGUUUUACUUUAAAAAAAAAAAAAUCUCACAUACGUCUCAAUCAUCCAUAAUGAUCAGAUGACUAAAAUUUCACAUCCGUCUCGAACAACCAUUUAUGUUAAAAUUGACUAAAAUGCAAAAUUCUCAUAUAUUAGAGUCUUUAAAUUGGAUCCUCACUACAGAAUGUCACUUGGUUGUGUAUGCGUAUCUUUAGCUGAAUCUGGCCGGCCACAGGUAUCGGUCAAAAAAACAGGUUUUCAAAAUCUGUUUUUUAUGAUAUUGUUCUACUAGAAUUUGUCUUUGAUUAGUAUUGUCCAUAGACUAUGUUCGAGAGAGCUCCCAAACUUGACCUCGGGAGGCGUUCAGUGUUUCGUGAUACAAUAAUAUAGUCCAUACAAAUUUUCUUGCUGAUUAUAUUCCACAGUAUGAUCCAAUACUUUUUGGUAAUUUAGGUCAUGAUUAUCAAUUCAAUAACUCCCACCUUAUACCUUUAAAGCCAAAAGUAACAUAAGGGGCAGAUCCGUGUUAUCACAUUUUUACACAACUUUUUAUUCUUAUUUUUCGUGAGAAUCAUUCUGUAAUGUAUUUCAAUAAUCCGAACGUCUAUCUUUUAGGUUUUUCUUCAAAUAUCAUGUAUACCAAGAAUCACCUAAAUAUGAAAUCAUAUGACUGUUGAAUGUCUUCACAGUUUUAUAUUUGUCUAAUUUUUUACAAGAAUCAUCCAUGAAUGAUUUUCUAAAAAAAUAGACGUUCAAAUCGUUAAAAGUACAUUACAAAUUUGACCCCACAAAACCUGUGUAAAAAAUUAUGUAAAAAAAAUAGUGCCACGGAUUCGCUAUAUAUAUAUAUAUAUAUAUAUCCAUACAUUUUUUUUACUUCUCACAUACCUCUUAUUAAUUUCUGUCCUUUGAUAUAUAUAUAAAAAAAAUCUUCUUCAAUUCAUCCAAUCCGAUGGCCGAAAAUUAAAAGUGUGUGAGAAGUAAAAAGAAGUGUGUAAAUAGCACACAUCAUCUAAAAAACCAUUAACGAACGGGCCUGUAAUUCCAAAUUUACAAGUUUUUACUCCCAAAAGAGACAGAGCUUAUUAAUUUUGAAUUUUUUUAAUUUUCUGAUUGACUUGGGGUUGGGGUAAGUACGGAAUAUAGCGCUUGAUCUGUUGAAAUGUCCCACAUCGACCGUAUCAAUGAAAAAAGAAGAGUUUAAAUACCCUAAUCUCACUUUAACUAAUACCGAGGUCUUCUGUAAUAAAACCACAUAUCUGACGGAUUGUGCAUAUGGUAAUUACCAAGUUGGGGACAAUAUCGGUGUUGUUGGAAGUGGGCCGUGUGGUUCGUCUCUUUGAUAAUUCUACAUGGUAUCAAAGCCAAGAAGCUGGCAUGUACCGUACUGCCACGUGAUUGGUGGGUCCCCUUGGCCCCGCGCGAUGAUGGUGGGUCCCUUGGUCCCGCGUGUAGAGUGAGUCCUCUUGACUCCACGUGGUUGUCGAUGUGUGGAUCUCCCACGUGUGACCUGGUAAUUGGGUCCCACAUGAGGGGGGUGUUGAAAUGUCCCACAUCGACCGUAUCAAUGACAAAAGAAGAGUUUAAAUAUCAUAAUCUCACUUCAACUAAUACCGAAGCCUUUUGUGAUAAAACCCCACAUCUGACGGAUUGUGCAGGUAGUAAUUACUAAAUUGAGGACAAUAUCGGUGUUGUUGGAAGUGGGUCGUGUGGCCCAUCUCUCUAAUAAUUCUACAUGAUCACGGCUGAAUAGUCAAUUGGGUCCCACGUGAGGGGAGUGUUGAAAUGUCCCACAUCGACCGUAUCAAUGACAAAAGAAAAGUUUAAAUAUCAUAAUCUCACUCCAACUAAUACCGAAGCUUUUUGUGAUAAAACUUCAUACCUGACAGAUUAUGCAGGUAGUAAUUACUAAAUUGAGAACAUUAUCGAUGUUGUUGAAAGUGAGCCGUAUGGUCCAUCUCUCUAAUAAUUCUACAUGAUCACGGCUGAAUAGUCAAUUGAUCGUAUCAUAUACCAACGAACCUUUGCUUUUGAUUGAGUAGUUGUGAAGAAGUCAAGGUCGUGUAAGAUUAAUUUUCAAACUACAAUUAUUUAGCCUUCUAUCAUUCUGUGCCAUUCAUUUGUUUUAGCUAAAUGUAGACAUGCACUUAAUUUCAUGCCCGACUUUUAAAAAUGAAUAUGACUUUUCUCUUUAAUUUGUCGUGUCACCGGUUUAAAAGCUCCGAUCUUCACAGUGUAGCUUAGAUUAUUAAUAAUAACAUCGAUUGUAAUAAAAAUAUAUAUAUAUUCUCAAAACACAAAAAGGGUUAUUAAUAAAAAUAUAUAUAUUCUCAAAACACAAAAAGGGUUAUUUUUUUCAUUUUCAGAUUAUGUUGGACACGGAAUAGGAUCCUCUGGAUUUGUGGGGAUCUGAAAGAUCAAUUAAAUCGGUGUAUUGAGCAAAUAAUACUAGUUACUUCAACAAAAAAAAAAAAACAGUUACAACUAAUUAUUUUUGAUCGUCAGUUGCUAGUUACAAAUAUAGCUAAUGUCCUGUGACCUCGUAAUAUUUUUAUGAAAAUUUUCAUUUUCUUUGUCAACUAAAAAAAUACUCUUUAUUUUUGUUGUUAAAAAACAACUUUCCAAUAUUAUAGAAUUCCCACUUGAUCUAACAAACGCAUCAAAAUGAUACCUGAAAUUGAAAAUUGAUCAAUGUCGUCUAUGAAUAUGGAGAUUGUUGUCGGUGGCUAAGUUCAAAGAAGAAGGAGAAGAUGAGGAUUAUUAGUUUGUUGUUUUUCUUCUUUUUACCUUUUAAAUUUUUUGAAACACUUUAUUUAAUCCAUAUGUUAUCAUAUUAUUGGAGUGCAGAGUCUUAUGUGUGUCACAUAAACACAUAAUAGAUUUUUUUAACAGAAAUAAGACAGAAGACGACAUUGAUUUGCAACACCCAUAUUCAGGGACGAUAUUAUUCAAUUUUCAGCUUCAGAUAUCAUCUUGAUGUGAUGGGUCAAUUUCAGAAACCACUUAUAACAAAAAUGUAAUAUAAUAUAAUAACGUAAGUUUAACAAGUCACUACCUGUGAAACCAGUCUUUUUAACAUGUUACUAAGGAGCCUAUCUAUUGUCAAACGAUAAGAUAAUUAUAUUAAAUUUAACUAAAUUACGGCAAGUGGAAUUCAAACUUGGUGCAUAAUAAAACACAGUGAUGUAACUAGCUUGGCUAAACUAAAAUCUUCUAUUUUAAAUUAAUUCUUUUACAAGUAAUUUAUGUAAAUGUAUCUUUAAUUAUAUAAAUAAUUAAAUAAAAAUAAAUAGAGUAAGUGGUUGGGAACAAGGUCUAAAAUAUCGAUAUUAUCCCGAUAUUUCCAUCGAAAUUUUCAUGUUUUUGGACUAUCGAUAUUUUCGAUAUCAUCAAUAUUUUAGACCUUGAUAGGAACUCUAUGUGGUACUAAGUCACUCAUGUAUCUUACCAUGCAAUGUAUAAAGUGUAAAAUAUUGUACUAAUUCAUUAUAUAUAAAUGAUUAUGGUGUGUUUAAACUUCUUUCAUUAAUUACUACAUAUUUUUACACUCACAAUGUUUGCCAGCUCGCUAUAUAAUUAACUUAAAUCAGUUAAAUCCAUCAUGCAAUGCAUUUCUUUCCAAUUUUUUGUGAUAAACUAAUAGAUAAUUGACUAAAUAAACAUCCUGCAAAGUUUUAAUAAAAAUUUCCAAGUUUUUCUUAUAAUUUCCGUGGUUUUUAUUCAAUUUUUAUCGAUAUCGAUAAUAUCCCGAUAUUUCCAUCGAAAUUUCCGUGUUUUUGGACUACCGAUAUUUCCGAUUUCAUCGAUAUUUUAGACCCUUCUUGGGAAUAAUAUAUAUUUUUUCCUUUCUUGUUUGGUCUUUGGUUUUAAGGAAAAUUAAUGAAAAUGACUUGAAAACUUUGAGUUUUAACAAUAAUGACAAACUAAAGGGUAAAGUGAAUAGUAUCAUGAUUGACUUUUUAGUAUAAAAAUAUGAUUUUUCGUUAAAAUGAACAGUACCACAAGCUUUUCGUUAAAAUUCCCUUAGUUUUAAGGGCAAGGUAACACAAGUCAUUGACUUCCGUUUGUGUCCUUCGAGGUCCACUCCUUCCCUCCCCUCAAGGGAAUAAAAACCUGUAAUUCAGACUCAUUCUCCUCACAAAUCCUUCUUUCUUCGCUACUCUAAAAAAAUUUCAUACAUACAAUCCAACAAAUUCCAAAACCUCUCAACAUAUUCCAUCCAGCUAGCUGCACAAACUGAUCCUUUUGUCUCUGGUUUUGUCUUCAAAUGUGAAAGACUUUGCCUAGAAAAAUGAUGAAUAUGUUCUUCCCUCGACUUCUUCCUCAUUCUCUUUUCUUUGUAGCUUGCUUUGUAACUUUUGCCUUUGGAGCUGCUCGAUUGCCAAAUGAUGAAGGUACGAGUAAUUCACCUCAAUAUCUCUAUGUCAAAUAUCUUCCUUAGUUUCCUCUGUUUCAUUCUAUAAAUGAUAGUUUUAAGUUCGUUUGAUAAUUUUUUUAAUUUUCAAUUCUUUUUGAGUUCUCAAAUUUUGGUUUGGUUUUUCCGAGAAGUGAAAACAGUUACCAAUGAACUAAAAAUUAAAAUGGUUAUCAAAUGAACCUUAGGUAAACAGAUAUUUGUGUGAACUUAGUAGAAAUUUUCAAUCAUAUAAGGUGCACUCUGUAGUUCUUGUCUAUGCAUCAAUUUUUUUUUUUUACUAUUUUGUUGAGCACGAUGUUAAUUUGUUGCCUUUUAUUUUGCGUAUAUGCAGUGCAAAUUUUGAAAGACAUAGCAAAGACACUGGGGAAGACGGACUGGGAUUUCAGUGGAGAUGCAGAUCCAUGCAGCGGCCAACUUCCAUGGGCUGAUCCAAGCGCACCCAAAGGAUUAGAGAAUGCCAUCAGCUGUAAUUGCUCCUACGAAAACUCCACCGUCUGCUAUAUUACCAGCAUGUAAACCUCUCUCACUCUCUCUCUCUCUCUCUCUCUCUCUCUCUCUCUCUCAAAAAUAAACAUGGCCGGCUCAGAACUCAGUGAGAUUUUUCAAUGUGAUGGUAUAUCACGUGACACGAUAUAAAUGGUGAGUAACUUGUAUUAAAAAAUUAACACAAUUUGAAACAUAAAACUUUUUUCACUUAUAUAACAACACGUAGUGUAUCUUCCGAAUAUAAUGAAAAAUUUGUUUUCAUCUCACAAGCUAAUACCAAAUAAUCUUAUCGGAAUUUUGUGAUUUAAAUUGAUGGGCAUUUAUUGGUCCACCCCCCGGGGCCCAAUCUAGGGAUAUUUUGAUAUUGCCGCCUCAUUUUUUAUUUCUUUUAAGAAUUUGAUUAAACAUUUUUUUAUACAAUUUUAUUAGAGGCACGUUUGGUUUUAUUAGUACAUUUGAUUUUAUGGACAUUUUGUUUUCUGGUACAUUUGGAAUUUAAACGUAACAAAAGUUGGUAUGUUUGUUUUUAAGUGUACCAUAACUUUUAAAUACAUUUUCUAUAUAACUAGUUAUACGUAAAAUUUUAAUAAGAUUAAAGAAGUUUUUUUAUGAAAAUAUUAAUGAAUUUUUUUAAUGAAAGAAGAGACUAAUUAAAUAUAAUAAAAAAAAUAAAAAGUUAUUUUUUUUAUAAUGAUAAUGAGGAAUUACUGAAAUUAAUAUUUUAAUGAAGCCAUGAAUUUAAAAUUCCUAGAUUGUAGGAAAUAGUUGUUAGAUAGUUUAAGUGAAUAUAUAUAUAUAUAUAUAUAUUAAAUAAAUAAAUAAAUAAAUGUUGAGUUGGAAAUUAAUCAAAACAUCUUAAUCAAAUUUUGUAAAAGAACAUAUGUUUAGUCUAAACAAGUUGAAAAAAAUGGAGGGAAUUCUUAAUUCUUUGUCUUCAAUUUAUUUGACACAUAAUAUGCACAUGAGAUUAUUGCGUUAGUAAACACCAAUUUAAGUACUUAAUGUGAUAAAGAGACAUAAGUUGGAAAAUAAACGUUUGGUUAUAUAGAAUUGUGAAUGAUUAACUUAUUUCUUAAGCGAUAAAAAAUUGCUCAUUAUAUUUUUCUUUUCUGGAUAAACAGUUUGUUCGUUGUGUUUUGAACGAGUUCCAUCUCAUGCAAUAUAUAGAAAUAUUACGAGAAAAAUAAAGAAAAAUUUGAGAAAAGAAUUAGCCAAUUAGGUGCUUCAUUAGUCGAAUAACUUGACUAAGCAAAAACAAUGUACAGAUUAGGCGCCUUUUGUUGUGAAAGGUUGAGAAUGAUAAGAUCAAAGUUUUUCAGUCUUUGUUAUAUCAAUCAUAUUAGAGAAGAAAAAAAAAAUAUAAGAAAGGUCUACGUCCACGUACCAUCCAGUCGACAUUAUAUAAUAUCUACAUGAAGACUUUGCAUUUUAGGUCAAUGAAUCUGAAUGAGCAGAAAUUUCUGUAAGUACUCGGUAUUCAAGCGAGUAAUUUAAGUGUUAUAAAUGAGCGAAGAAAUACAAAAAAAAAAAUAUUAUUAUUUGUAUUAAGAUAUGUGGUGUACUCUUUGAAAAAAUCUAUUCUCAAUGAGCACUUUCUAAUACUUUGUUAGGUUAGAUGUUAAAUUAGCUAGUGGCAUGAUUUGAACUCAUGUCGUCAUACAAAGCCUCAACACUUUUUCACCACUAUGGUAAAGAGUUACGAGUCACUUGCAUCCUACAGGGAAAAUUAACUAGCAUGUAGACUACUAUGCGAAAAAUAAGGGUUAAUCUCAGUUUACUACCUUGAAGUUUCGUGAUUUUCAACAUUUGAUACAUGAAGUUUUUUUCAUCACAGAGUCAUAUCUCAAGUAUUAAUUUUGGAACAGUAUCAUACAUUCAUUAAGUUGGCUGUUAAGUCACAGAGUCAUAUCUCAAGUAUUAAUUUUGAAACAAUAUCAUACAUUCGUUAAGUUGGUUGUUAAGUCAGCCGUUAACUGAUGACGUGACAUCCAUAUAGAUAAUAACUAAGCUCCACGUGUAAAUAUAGGCCAUAUAAAUAUUUAAAAAAUUAAAAAACUAAACAAAUAAAAAUAUGGCCUAUGGAUGCGGGCCUUCCCUUUCCUCCACCCGCACCAACUCUUUAUCUUCUUCUCUUCGACAGCCACCAGAGCUGAUCUGAAAAUCAGCACAACCUCGAAAUUUAAGCCCUAAUUCAACCUAAAUUUCAGAUAGAAGGGCUGGAUUAGUCCAUUAAUCUAAGCGUACGAUCCAAAAUCCAGUUCCCAAUUGUGUUCCUUUCCUCAAUAAACAGCCAGAGGGCUCAACGAAAUGAAGAAAUUACAAAGAGAUGUAUAGAAAACGCACCGUUUUGGAGGUAGGGGCCGUACUCGGUGGCAGAGAGGUGCAUCUUGAUAUAGUCGAGGGUCUCGCACUGGCAAAAGUUGUUGUAAUCAGCGGCGAGCGGUGACCCUGCACUAUGGCCUCCAAGUACCCGCCGUGAAUGUUGAAGAUCAUCGCUUCGAAUCCGUACACUUUCGCUGAAAUUUUGAAAAUUUACGCGAUCUGCCACUGCAUGAUCCGAAAAAUUGAACGUCUCGCGGGAGAGAGAGAGGAAGGGGACGAUCGGGGAACCAGAAACCCCCUUCUGCAGCGAAAUCAAUGGAAACCCUAGCGAUUUGCAGACGGAAGCUGAAAUCUGGAAAUUAACCGCGUGGGCGCCAAUGGAAACCCUAUGGGCUAUGGCUUUCUACUCUGGUUUGAAAUCUCCGCGAUGAAUGCCUCGUUGUUGUUGUCGACGGAGAAGAAAGAGAGAGAACCCAGGCCGUGGUGGUGCAGAUUUUCAGAUCAGCUUUGGUGGCUGUCGAAGAGAAGAAUAAACAAAACUUCAUAAUAAUAAACUGAGAUCGUUCCGAAAAAUAAAGAAAAAGUUGAGAAAAUAGCUUGACUAAGCAAAAGCAACGUACAGCUUAGGCGCCUUUUGUUGUGAAAGGUUGGGAAGGACAGGAUCAAAGUUUUUCAGUCUUUGUUAUACGAAUCACCUUGUAUAAUAUCUACGUGAAGACUUUUUUAGGUACUCGGUAUUCAAGUGAAUAAUUGAAGUGUUAUAAAUGAGUGAAGAAAUAUAAAAAAAAAUGUUAAUUUUCCAUUAUAUUAUGAUAUGUGAUGUGUUGCUUGAAAAAAAAAAGAGUAAUGUUAUUCAUACUAUAUUUUUGUACCAUAUUUUCAUACCAUCUUAGGUGGUAUUUGAUGUGGACAACCAUAUCAUUUGAAUUAAUCUGAUUUUUAAAUUUAGUUCAUUAUUUAAUAAACUAAUAAUUAAGAAAAACUAAUUAAUUAAAUAAUAAUUGUGGUAUACGAGGAGUUUUUCUCCUUCAUUUUCUUGGGUUUUGCAAAUUUUUCAAAUGAUGUGGCUGUCCACAUCAAAUGCCACAUAAGGUGAUAUAGAAAUGUGGUAUAAAAAUAUGGUAUGAAUAACAUUACUUGAAAAAAAAAUCUCUUCUUAAUAAGCGCUUUCUCCUAUAGAGAAUAGAUUUUGUUAGGUUAGGUGUUAAAUUAGCCAGCGAUCGGGUUUGAACCCACGUCGUUAUGUAAGAACUUAACUUUUCACCAUUGUAGUAAAUAACCACUUGCCUCCUACAGAGAAAAUUAACUAGGCAUGUAGACUAAGUGAGAAUAAUAACUAGGGCUGGUUCGGUAUGGGAUACCGAACCGAAAAUGACAUACCAAAUCCCGAACCGAAAAUUUUCGGGACUGGAAUAAGAGGACCGAUACCAACCGAAACUUCGGGAUUCCCAAAUUUCGGUAUUCCCAAAAAAAUUUCGGUAUUUCGGGAUUUCCCGAAACCGAACUUGCAUUGAAAUCCAAAUCAACUAAUUGAAAUCGAAAACAUUCGAACCUGCAUGAAAACCCCAAAAUGAAAUCAGAGAAGUGACAGUGAAUCAGUGAAGAUUGAUGGGAGAUAGAGAGACAGAGUGAAGAGAUAGUUCGUCCUCCUCCUGACCCGAGCCCCUAAUUCGAAACCCUAAUCCCCAAUUCGAAACCCUAAGCCCCAAUUCGAAACCCUAAUUUGAAACCCCACAUAGAGAAUCAAUGGAGAGAAUCGGAGGUGGGGAUGAAGCCGUGAUGUGUAGUGGUGGCCGGAGGGGAGAGAGUUCAUCGGAGUGAGACUGUGAGAGGGUGGUGGCUGCUAGGCUUCGAAUUCGAGAAGGAGAGACAGAGAGAAUCUGAGACUAAGUGAAGGGCCAAAGAUGAGAAAUGAGAGAGAGUAAGUAUGGAUGUGUCGGCUUGGGUUUGAAUUGAGUUGAAGGAAUGUUUUGGUGGCUUCGCCUUUCUGGGUUGCAAAGCAGAUGGAGAUAAUGAGAGAGAGAGAGAGAGCGAGAGCAGCAGACAGCACCCAUGUGCUUUGAUAAAACUUCAAACGCCAGGCACACAAUCAUAUCCUUAUCCCCACACUUAAGUUAUUUUAAUAAUAUAAAUAGGCCAUAUACAUAUAUUCCAACAUAUAUAUAACAAUAGGGUUUAAAGUUCGGUUCGGGAUGGGAAUACCGAACAAUUUUAAGUGUGAGACCGAAUCCCAUACCGAAAAAUUCGGGAUCGGUUUGGUUUUGGUACCAAAAUUUUCGGGAUUUUCGGUAUGGUUUCGGUAUGAUUUGGGAUUUUCGGUAUUUUUUUCCACCCCUAAUAAUAACUUACAUUGAACGAGUUAAAUAUCAUAAAAUUUUACACUUAAAAUUUAGUUCAUUAUUUAAUAAACUAAUAAUUAAGAAAAACUAGUUAAUUAAAUGAUAAUUGUAGUAUACGAGGAAUUUUUCUUCUUCCUUUUCUUGGGUUUUGCAAAAUUUUCAAAUGAUGUGGCUGUCCACAUCAAAUGCCACCUAAGGUGGUAUAGAAAUAUGGUAUAAAAACAUGGUAUGAAUAACAUUACUAGAAAAAAAAUCUCUUCUUAAUGAGCGCUUUCUCAUACAGAGAAUAGAUUUUGUUAGGUUAGGUGUUAAAUUACCCAGCGAUCGGGUUUGAACCCACGUCGUUAUGUAAGAGCUUAACUUUUCACCACUGUAGUAAAUAACCACUUGCCUCCUACAGAGAAAAUUAACUAAGUGAGAAUAAUAACUUACAUUGAACGAGUUAAAUAUCAUAAAAUUUUACGUUUAAUCAUAUUUUAAUACGUGUAAAUUUUUGUUAGCAUGAUAUAUAAUAUUAUAACAAAAAUAUUAAAAAUAAUAAAUUUGUUCGAUGUAAACUGAUCACAAGUGUGUGAGGAGAGAUGUUUUUCUUUCAAAAAAAAAGAUUAGCUGAUAGUUUCGUCAUGACAGGAGUCGAAAAAACUAGUAGAGAUAGCGAGGAGAGAUGUUGAUUAGAUGGUUGGAAUUCGGUUUUGUGGACCCCAUGUCUAUUCGAUAUAUGUAUCAAUCAAUUUUUCUUUUUCUUUUUUUUUUCUGUUAAAAAGUAUCAAUCAAUUUUUCAUUACAUAUCCCCUAACCUAACCCCAUGCCCAUGAAACCUCCAAAAUAAAGUAGGAAUUAUAAGGCUUAGUGUGGGCCUCAUCGAGUUGCCUAUUGGCAACUUGGCACGUCGUAUUCACUCAUUCAACCUUAUGUCGAGCAAGGUAGCUAGGCCGAUUGAUUUCAAUUGGAUUUGAGAGUUGUUAGUUUAAUAGCAAAGUCGAGCUCGUUUGUUUCUUUGUGAUUUUCUCACGCCCCGACCGUAGUUUUGGAGAGAUUUUUUAGUGUGCUAGGAGUACGAUCCGGUAUAUCAAGUAUUAUAAUACAAGUAGUUAUAUACUUGAAAUUUUUUUCCAACUGCUUAUAUUAUGACACUUAGUGAACCAGAUUUGUUUCCCCCGCACACAAAAUUUCUCCUACCUUUGGGGCGUAAAAAUUUUAAAGCUCUUAUUGUGUAUGUAAAACAAGUAAAUGUUGCUACCGUUUAGAGCUAUGAAAAGUGACUACCACUCGUCUUUUUCUCUUCAUGCACACUAUUGAUUUCUGGCCUUUGACGAAUCAAGGGGCAUGAAUAAAACCAAAUUAUGCAAUAAUCAUUUUCAUAAAGCUAUAAGUUAUUCUUGGCAUGCAAGUUGGAUUGAAAAUUUCGAUUUUAACCAAUUCUGUUCUUGUCGGUUUACGAACAAAAAAUAUGAAGCAAAUUGGAACGCAUCUUAAAAUUAGGCCGCCUUUGCCAUUGUUACACAGUUACUAAUUUGUGAUCCAUCAUUGGGUAUAAAGUCAAUAUAAUUCUGAUAUAUCUAGACACUAGUGGGGUUUCCAUUUUCCCAAAUCCUUUACCCUCUAGAUUUUUAAUUUUUCUUCAACCGGCAACCAAUUGGAAGUUUUUCUUGGUCUAAUAAGACCUUGUUGUGCCUUGACAUUCAAGAAAUGCAGAAAGACUAAUCCAUUUCUUUUAUUGAAUGACCAAUGAAACAUCAAUUACAACCUACCAUGGACCGCAAUUCAAGUUAAGCUUAUCUGCAAAAUCGAGUUCAUGGGAUGUGACAAAUUUGCUCAAUUAUGAUAGCAAUGUGUUUUUGAGCUGGCCAUGAGCCAGCAUAGAUGUUCUGUGGCAUGCUGAGUUGUUAGGACUUGGUAUUACAGCUGUGCUGUAUUUAGGCUUGAUUCUUGCAUACUUGAUCAACGUAUAAAAUUUCGCAGUCACCAUGAUUGUUGCGUACUUCUUAUACACGAACAACUUUGUAUCGGCCUAGUUAUUAGUUACAAAGUCGAUGAAAGAAUGAUUCACAAUAUGCUUGUAACAAAUACACACUUACCGUUUGUGUAAUUCUUCAAGUUCUAUUCUUUGUAAAGAACAUUGGACAUUUUCCUUCGGUUUUAAAGAAAACCAGUUCCUUCUUCCUAUUUAAUUCCCUGAUCAAAAGUAAGUAUUUUCUGUGAUAAAUUAGUGUUUUACCUGUUUGGUCCUAUUUGUGUGGCAGCUUUUCCUUUUAGUCACAGUAUAGAUGUGUAAUAGAUAUCUGUUAAUUUACAACUAAUCUUUGAAACCCUGUUUUCCGAUGAAACACAGAAUUCUAAAAUCCCAAGAUUUGCAAGGAACACUCCCACCAGAGCUGGUACAUCUCACCUAUCUUCAAGAAAUGUAAGCACAUUUUUACCCCUCCAAGUUUACAAUAUUUAAAGUAAAAAGAAAAUAACUAUGUGUCGUGUAAAUGGUUUAUUCUAAUUUCAUAUAUAGCUUACCUUUAUUUCUGUUGUCAAUGAGACAAUAACUGGUUUCCUUCUUUCUCCUUUAGCGACCUCACCCGCAACUACCUGAGUGGUACCAUCCCUCCAGAAUGGAGCUCUCUUCCACUAGUGAACAUGUACUAUCUUCUCUCACACUGCAUACAUUUUUGUGUUUGAUGCUCAUGUCAUGUUCUUGUUACUUUAUUUGGUCACUCCAAUGUUCUUCAGCCAUUUCUUUCUUAAACUAUGAAUCUAAUACAUUGGGUUUUGUUCAUGAUAAUGAGCUUCCGUGGUCAUGAGGUGUUUGAAUCAUAAAUAUUGAAUCGAACACAUGGGGUUCAUUGCCUUCGUAUUGAUGAACAUGUUAAUGUUAUUGAGUCUCUUGCUUGAUAAAAGUGAUCUUAAGAUUAUAGUUUUGAUGCAGAUCCCUUCUUGGAAAUCGUUUGACGGGUUCUAUCCCCAAAGAGCUUGGAGACAUCACCACCCUGAAGAGUUUGUGAGUGUUGAUUGAGCAUUUGUUUCUUGCUUACCUCAUUUGAUUAUGUGGAGAUCCUUAAUGAUGUUUUUUAAUCAAUGGAAUUGAAUUUGUUUGUAUAGGGACAUCAGUUUCAAUAAUUUUUCUGGACCUCUCCCUCAGGAGCUUGGAUCUUGGGCCAACAUAGAAAGAAUGUAAGAGUCCUAUUCAAAUUUUACCGUGUUAAAAAGUACUUGGUUUAUUUGGAAUUUUCUUUCUUAUAGACAAAUUCUGGAUGUUUUCACCAAUAAAUCAUCUACUUCUUUAUCAUUGAUAUAUUGUUAUAUCUGUUUCAUACUUAGGCUGCUUUCCUCAAACAACUUUAGUGGGGAGUUGCCAGAAACAUUUGCAAUGCUUACCAAAAUAAAGGACUUGUAAGCUUCUGUGGUUCUUUCUUCUUAAAGGUUUCCUGAGCACUUAUACAUUUUUUACUGCUUUCUGAUACUAAUUCGUAGUAUUUUCCCUUUUCCAAUCAUUAUGCAGUCGGGUUAGUGACAGUCACUUUUCCGAGCGGAUACCUGAUUUUAUUGAGAACUGGAUAAAUCUUGAAAAACUGUGAGUGUUUUUCUUUUGUGUGUCAUAUUUCUGCUAUAUGAUUCUGAAUAUUAUCUCUAAUUCAUAUGCUAUGACUCGUUGAAACAGAGUGAUUCAAGCUAGCGGUUUGACAGGGCCAAUUCCUUCUGGCAUUUCUCUUUUGACAAGCUUAACUGACUUGUUAGUAUAUCCCGUCUAUAUUUUUAAAUACAAAACGAUUAGCAAAAUGUGUAGUUUAUGUUCAUGGCUCAAUUUUAACAUGCAGGAGAAUCACUGACUUGAGUGGACCUGAAUCACCAAUUCCUUCACUUAAUAAGAUGAAAAACAUGAGGACACUGUGAGUUAAUGGUUCCAUGACACACAAUUUUUGUCUGUACCAGAAGUCUUCUGUAAACUCAAAGCUUUGGUGUCUGUUGCAGGAUGUUGAGGAGUUGCAACCUUAUUGGAAAGCUACCUCCAUAUCUUGCACAAAUGAACAAAUUGAAAACUUUGUAAGUUCAAAUGUCUUAGUCCCUAUUUUUUCCGUCUUCAAAUAAAAAAAAUUCUUCUAGAUGUGAUUCUACUAAUUCAAGAUUUAUUGAAGUGACUUAGACGAUGUUGGGUGGACUUUAUGUUUCUGUAUUUAUUAAGAGAACUUCUCUUUCAGAUGUCAUUUCCCUUUCUGCAGAGAGCACAUCUAAACUGCAUUUGCUAUUUGUUUGUGCAGAGACCUCAGCUUUAACAAGCUGACCGGAGAAAUUCCAAGCAGCUUCGGUAGUCUAGCAGAUGUGGUUUAUAUGUAAGCAAUUGGAAUGACCAAUCUAGUCUUUCUUACAUGGAAUUCAAGCAGACAUUCUUCAAUGGUUUUGUUACACCCCAGCCUGGCAAGCUGGAAGUAUUUCCAAUCACAGUUACUAUAAUUAUGAGUCACGGGUUAUACUGCAAUGAAAAUGAAAACGGCUCUUCUGCUCAGAAAUGAAAUGUUUAGUUUAUUCAUUAGAGUCAUUACUACUCGUGCAAUUAUCUGACAUAAGGUGAUCACCCUUAGAUGUGUCUUUCACAUGGAAGUACUGAUCUAAUGCACUCAGAGUUGGCAAACUCAAAUUUUCAAACCUUUACAAAGAACAAACACUAUUCUCUACUGAGUUUUUUCUGUAUUCAUUAUUUUUAGAUUCUUAACUGGAAACUUGCUGACUGGACCUGUACCUGCUUGGCCAAGAGUCAACGUGUAAGCUUCUCUUCCAAAUGCUACUCUUUAGCUACUAAGGAAAUUUAUGCUGUUUUUUUUACUAAGAUAGAUAUAAAACUAUUAUAUCAAUAUUGAGUUUUGGUUUCAAUAUUUGUUGUAUAUUUCAUUAUGAAGAUUACAAGAGAGUGAAGGCAACUCUUAUAGAGAGCCAAAAGAAAGCUACAAUAGAUUGUAGGAUAACUACACAAACACAAUCCCUAAAAUCUGCCCUAACAAAUGGAAAAGCAAAAACCAAAUUACAAGUAAAAAAGCUUUUACAAACAACUAAGAAAGGUUGAUGUAAGGUGAAUGACAAGGAAAGUGACUGGUGAAUGACAAGCUAUGGAAAGUGACUUUAGCCUAUGACUUAGCUAAAGUGAGGAUGACAACUCAUACAUACAACCCAUCCAUACAAUCCAUACAAACCGGUUUCAAUACACCCCCUCAAGCUGGAUCAAGGGGAUUGAUUGAUCCAAGCUUGCACAACAAACGCUGAAACUGAGUAGAGUCUAGUGCUUUUAUGAAUAAAUCAGCAAGUUGAUCGUGGCUGCAUGUGAACACGGUGUCUAUCACCUUGGAUUGAACUUGAGCACGAAUAUAAUGGCAGUCAACUUCAAUAUGUUUGGUCCUUUCAUGGAAUACUGGAUUGGAGGUAAUGUGCAUGGCAACUUGGUUAUCACAAUACAAGGAUAUAUGUGCCAUGCUUGUGAAUCCGAGCUCGGAAAGAAGACCUUUCAACCAUAUGAGUUCACAGGCUGUUGCUGUCAUAGCCCUAUACUCAGCUUCGGCGCUAGAUCGAGCAUUAAUAGUUUGUUUCUUGCUCUUCCAAGUGACAAGGUUCCCUCCAACAAAUAUGCAAAAACCUGUUGUGGAUUUUCGAUCAAGGGCAUUUUCAGCCCAGUCAGCAUCUGUGUGGGCCAAGAUGUGAUUUGAUCCAUUGUUCUUCAUAAUUAUCCCCCUUCCUACUGAGCCCUUGAGAUAUUGAAGUAUUCUCUUGACGAUUUCCCAGUGAACUAGAGUAGGAGAGUGCAUGAACUGACUGGCUAGGCUAACUGAAUAUGAGAUAUCAAGCCUAGUAAUGGUGAGAUAAAUAAGUUUCCCAACCAUUCACUGAUAAACACUAGGGUCCGAGAGAGGUUCACUUUUUUCAUGCCACUGAAGUUUUCUAGCUAGGGGUGUCCAAGCUGGUUUACAUUCCAUCAUGUUAGCUUCAUCUAGAAGAUCAAGAACAUACUUUCUUUGAUUUAAGAACAAUCCCUUUGAAGAGGUAGCCACCUCAAUUCCAAGAAAGUAUUUCAAGGGCCCCAAGUCUUUAAUGGCAAAUUUUUGGUGAAGUGAUUGCUUAAGCGUCUUUAUUUCACUUAUAUUGUCACCUGUAAUAAUUAGGUCAUCAACAUAUAUAAGCACAACCAAUUUUCCAGCAAUACCACUUCGAACAAACAAAGAAGAGUCAGCAUGACUCCUUUUGAACCCUGCAGCUUCAAGGACUGAACUAAGCAUCGAAUACCAAGCUCGAGGGGACUGUUUGAGACCAUAUAUGGCUUUGUGAAGUCUGCAGACCUUGUUGGGUUCAUUUUCUCUUGGAUGACCAGGAGGCAACUUCAUGUACACUUCUUCUUCAAGAUCCCCAUGAAAAAAAUGCAUUCUUCACAUCCAUUUGGAAUAAGGGCCAUGCAUUAUUGACUGUCACAGACAACAAUACCCUCACUAUGUUCAUUUUGGCAACAGGAGCAAAGGUCUCCUUAUAGUCAAUGCCAUAGUUUUGAGUAAAGCCUUGAGCUACUAACUGUGCCUUGUGUCUUUCAAUGCUUCCAUUGGAGUUGAAUUUGGUCUUAUAUAUCCACCUACUUUCCACGACCUUCUUGCCAUUUGGAAGAUCCACCACACUCCAUGUCUGCUUGUCAUUCAGAGCUUGAAGCUCUUUAGUCAUAGCAUCUUGCCACUCAGGCAUGCAUGUGGCUUCAUGAAAAUUCCUUGGUUUGAAAGUGUGGGACAAUUUGUUAAGGAAAGAAGUAUGAGAAGAUGAGAAUCUAUGAUAAGAAAUGGCUGCAGAGAUAGGAUGCCUUGCAGUGUAAGUAACAUACUCUUGUAACCUCAUUGGUGGAUGUCUAUCUCGUGUAGGAUUUCUUCUUGGUGUACUUAUAGCUUGCUGAUUUGGUUGAGCUUCUGAUGGUUCAGAUGAGCUUGGCACUGCAUCAAUUACACUCUCAGUGAGUUAAGAAUUAUCAGUGCUGAUAUGAGUAGGAGUGACUUCAUGAAUUUCUGCUGGAAUAGGUAGUGGAAAUAGGUCCAUAAGAUCUUCCAUAUUAGCAUUAGUCUUCAACCCUUUGUGGAAAUAAGGUGAAUAUUCAUCAAAUCACACAUCUCUAGAGACUGCCAGCUUUCCCGUGUUAGGGUUGUACACUUUGUAACCCUUUUGAGAAAUGGCGUAUCCCAUAAACACACAUUUGACAACUCGAGGGUCGAGUUUGUCAUGAUGGAGAUCUUGAAUGUGCACAUAACAAGUACAACCAAAAGUCCUGAGGUAAGACAAGUUUAUAGGCCUUCCUUUCAUGACUUCAAAAGGAGAUUUAGUAUUCAACACCCGAGUUGGCAGUCUAUUAAUGAUGUACGUGGCAGUGAGUAAGGCUUGAGACCAAAAUUUCUUAGUAAUAUUCAUUUGGAUCAUAAGUGAUCGAGUCUUCUAAUAAGUCUCAAUUCUUUCUCUCUGCCACACCAUUUUGUUGUGGUGUACCAACACAGCUAGUUUGAUGCAAAAUGCCAUGAUUGCUCAAGUAAUUAUUCGUGUUAUUGGAAAUGUACUCGGUACCAUUAUCUGAUCUUAACAUAUAUAACUUAGAUGAAAAUUGAUUGGUGAUUAGGUUGUGAAAGUCGUUAAAAGCAUCAAACAAAUCACUUUUAAGUUUUAAAAGAUACAACCAGGUUACUCUAUAAUAGUCAUCAAUAAAUGUAACAUAAUAUCUAUACCCAUCAAAGGAUUCUACACGAGAAGGACCCCAAAUAUCAGAGUGAACAAGCUCAAAAAGUUUACUAGUUCUAGAAUUAGAGGAAACAAAAGGAAGUCUAGUGGCUUUUGACAUUUGACAAGUUUCAUACUCUAGUGUGUUUUUACAAAAAAAGGGAAACAACUUGGUCAUCACAUGUUCUGAGGGAUGGGCAAGGCGUUGAUGCCAGAGUUGGUGUUCCUGAACUUGACUUAAGUUGACACCGAGCUUUUUGACAAAAUUGGACUCAUUUGAAAGAUAGUAGAGUCCAUUCAAGAAGAACCCUUCACCAAUCUUCUUCUAAGUAACUCGGUCCUGAAACACAACAUUGUGAGGGGAAAAUAUGGCAAGACAGUCUAAGGUUUUUGUAAUUUUUUCCUAUUGACAAGAGCUGAAAAGGAAAAGAAGGUACAUAGAGAACAGUGGAAUCAGUAUGCUCACUUAGCAAUCUAAUCUUUCCUUUCCCUAGAAUAGGUUCCCAUUUCCCAUUUGCAACAGAUACAUGCAUUGGAUCAAUAGUUCUUUGAAAAUCGUGGAGACUAGAGGGUUUAUUAGUUAUAUGAUCAGUGGCACCAGAGUCAAUAAUCCAAAAAUCAUGUGUAACAUUUGCAUUAAGAGCAGUGGAAAUGGCACUGAUAAUACCUGAAAUAUUUCCUUUCGAUGUGUUCUCCGAGUCAGCCAAGAAUCCAGCAAAUUUCCCUAGCAUUGCAGUAGGGUUUUCAAGUGUCAUUUCAUCAGGUUCAGUGCUUCCUUGCUUCUUUUGAAGAAAAGCAGCAAACUCGUUGAUCAAGGACACAUGAUUGUUGAGAAAUUGGCCAUCCCAUCAGUUAUGGAACAAGCUGAAUGAAAUGCUUUUGUAGUGACUCCACCCUUCCCAUCUUUGAUCAUCCUGCCUUCCCUAUCAAACUUAGGCUUUAACUCCGGAUGAAGAAUCCAACAUUUUUCUCUCAAAUGUCCCUUCAUGUUGCAAUAAUAACAUUUCCAGUCUGCUUUCUUGCCAAGUACCCUAUCACCAGUUGCUUUGUGAUUUGUCGUGAAAACCCUAGCUUCAGAAUUGGAUUUGGGCUCAACGUUCAUCACUCUUCGUCAAGUUUCCUCUCUCUGGACUGCAUGACACACACUGGUAAAUGAGGGCAGCUCUUGAGUCAUUAACAAGUGACUACGCAGGUCUUCAUACUUCGUUCCCAAGCUUGCUAAGAGUUGAAACACCUUGUCUUCAUCAGCCAUCUUCAGUAGCACAGCGGAAUCAGUCGUGUGUGGACGAUACAUAUUGAGUUCAUUCCACAUGGAUUUCAUACUUCCAAGGUGUUGAACAAAUGAGUGAUCACCUUGCUUUAAACUAGCCACACUCUUCUUCAGUUAAAAGAUGCAAACUGAGUUGUUUUGGCUGCCAUACAUGUCUUUGACAGACUCCCAUAGGAGAAGGGAAGACUCUGAGUAAUUGAAAAGCUCAGACAGUUUUGGCUCCAUAAAGUUAAGUAACCAGGACAUGACCAGUUAAUCAGUAGCAUGCCAUGCAUCGUAAGUUGGUGAAGUGGAUUAUGCGGGCUCAGAGCUUCCAUUGAUAAACCCUAGCUUCGAUCUUCCCCCUAGAGCAAGUGACACAGCUCUUGACCAAGGAAGGUAGUUGAACUCGUUCAGUAGCACCGAGCAGAGUCGUUGAUUUGGAUUGUUUUCAACCCCUUGGGUUAAGUUUAGGGAGGAGGAUGAGGCACUAUCGGCACUAGACACAUUUUCUUCUGCCAUCUCUUUCGAUGAUGAGCAAAUGAAGAAGUAAAAAAAAAAUGACCCUAUGGUUCCUGCUCUGAUACCAUGUUGAGUUUUGGUUUCAAUAUUUGUUAUAUAUUUCAUUAUGAAGAUUAGAAGAGAGUGAAGGCAACUCUUGUAGAGAGCCAAAAGAAAGCUACAAUAGAUUGUAGGAUAACUACACAAACACAAUCCCUAAAAUCUGCCCUAACAAGUGGAAAAGCAAAAACCAAAUUACAAGUAAAGAAGCUUUUACAAGCAACUAAGAAAUGUUGAUGUAAGGUGAAUGACAAGCUAUGGAAAGUGACUGGUGAAUGACAAGCUAUAGAAAGUGACUUUAGCCUAUGACUUAGCUAAAGUGAGGAUAACAACUCAUACAUACAACCCAUCCAUACAAUCCAUACAAAGUGUUGUUUCCUUUUGUACUGACAUACUACACCUGGAAAAGAAUUUUUUAGUGCUUCUUUGAUUCUGGUUUAUGAAACCUCAAUGAAUAUGAGGACUGGGGGGAAGAUGAUUAAUAAUGAAAAUGAAAGGAUGAAGAAAAUCACACAGAGAAUAUAGGUCCCCACUCAAGUCGUGCAAAGAGAAUAUUACCGUUAGCAAAGCACAGCUGGAUCCUUAGACAUCACAAAGUGAUCUUAGCCACACAUCUAACUAAUUUCUAGGAUCCUUAGACUUCACACAAGGCAUUAUUUGCCGUACAUCUUUGAACCUCACACUUGGCCAUAUUACAACUCUAAGUGAAUAUAGAAUUAAGCUCAUAACUUAUGUCACUAAUUCUAAUCAGCUCGAGACCUACAAUUCAACAGAAUUUGCAUCAUAGCUCUUUUUGUGCAGUGAUCUUUCGUAUAACAACCUCGCCAUAGAGGAUGCAAGUUGUCAACCACGAGGUGGCACGUAAGAAUGUCUUCAUUAGCUUGAAGUUAAUCUGUUUGUGUUAUGUGGAGAAAAGCUUAACUUUUCAUUUGUGUUAAUUUCUGCAGUAACUUGUUUGCAAGCUCGUCAAAAGGAAAUAGUUCGUAAGUUCAAAUUAAUCGUCUCAAAGCAUGCACCUAUAAAUUUACUUCGGUAUCCAAUGGUGUAUUCUUUACUAUUUUUUUUUCCAACUUCGUCUCAUUUAUGAUUGCUGACAUUUUUUGUACCCUGAAUUACUAUAUCCGGAGAAUCGUUUCAUGUUUCAAAACUUCAGAGUGUCCAAAAUGUAAGCCGAGUUUCUACACAAAUAAUUACCUUUAUUUUUUCGCUUCAUUCUUUUUUAGUUUUCCUCCUCAAUGCCUACUAAUCUCCAAUUUAUUUUUUCAUAGAUUUGUACUACUCUCUCCAUAUAAAUUGUGGUGGGAAACAAUUUACGGUCCCUGGAGGAAAAGAUACAGUAUAUGAUGAUGACACAUUUUCAGCUGGACCUUCAUCAUUUACCUGAGCAGAACAAAUUGGGCAUUAAGCAGCACCGGUUACUUCCCUGAUGAUGACCGCCCUUAUGACACCUUUAUAUGGACUAAUGAAACUAGACUCUCUAUGGCCAAUCCUCAACUGUACAUGAACGCACGCCUUUCUCCCAUCUCUCUAACUUAUUUUGGGUUUUGUCUGGGAAAUGGAAACUACACCGUAAACCUCCAUUUUGCAGAGAUAAUGUUUAGAAAUGGCAAAACAUAUAAAAGCUUGGGAAGGCGCAUAUUCGAUAUUUACAUUCAGGUAAGUAUCGCAUCCACUUCCAUGUAUACCAGUGAAUUAUUCUAAUUUUCAACAAGCAUUGUUUAUAUUUUGGUCGAUUUGAAUGUUAACUUUCACAUUUAUGAUCAUGAAAUGUUAAGCAACUAAAUUAGUGUGUGUGUGUGUGUGUGUGUGUGUAUUGCAGGGAAAACUAGUGAAGAAGGACUUCAAUAUCAUGGAUGAAGCUGGCGUGUUUGGUGAUGUAGUCAUAAAGAACUUUACUGCUCCUGUAACUAAUAAUACAUUGGAGAUUCGUUUCUAUUGGGCCGGAAGAGGGACGACAGGCAUCCCUUUUAGAGGAGUCUAUGGUCCUCUUAUUUCAGCUAUUUCAGUAGACCCAAGUAAGUUUUCACUGAUCUGAGCUUCGUCUAAUUACUAUGCG